AAGAAAUUGAGUCCAGUUUAAUCGGAGCUCAAUUCAUAAUAAAAACUAAGCUUAAUUUAGUUUAAAAAAUAGUUUAUUAAUAAUCACGAUUGAGUCCUUCUUUGAAAAAGAAAAAAGAAAAAGAAAGGCAGCCCUUUUAGGCCCAAACAAAAUGAGCCGUAAAAUAACAGAAUUCUAUGCAAAAGCUUGAGAAGGGGAAAUGGCGACGGACAUUAUUAUCCAGACGGCAAUUUUGUUAUUAACACUCGCUAUUGUCUUUGCAAUUCAAUACGUUCCCAAACAAACCUUAACCAAGCACCGAACCGACCAUCGAGCCACGACCCAAACCCAACGCCAUUUCAGCCGAGCCACCCAAUUGCUUUGUCGAGCCAAAUCCAACCCUCAGAAAGACCAAUCUCAAACCCUAGCGAAAACCGCCAUAACCGAAAUCGAAAAAGCCCUUUCUCUUUUCCCAAAAGACCCAACUCCUCACAUUCUCAAAUCCCUAGCUCUCGACUUAUUGGGCCACAGGGGAUCCGCUCUCAGAUCGCUCGAUUUGGCGUUGGCUUUCCCCCGCGUGAAGUCGCUCUCGGAGAAGGAACGCGUGGAGGCGCUGGUGAGGAGGGCAGAGUUGAAGUUGGCGGUUAAUAAGAGAAGGCGAGUUGACUCGGCCGUUUCGGAUUUGGAGGAGGCAGUUAAGGUGAGUGAUAAAGAGGGUGAGACUAAAACGAAGGCGUUUUGUUUAUUGGGGGUUUGUUAUGAGUUAAAAGGGAUGAGGGAAGAAUCUAGGAAGGCUUUCGUAGAGGCGCUUAAGCUGGAGCCUGCCUCUACCCUCGCUCGUCAGGGUUUGGAACGGGUGAGUUUGUCAUGAGUCAUUGAUUCCACGACUCGUCAUUCUUUCCGUUCUUCUCUGUUUCUUUUAAUUAUUUUCCCCUAAAAUAUUGUAGAAGUAUUUUGUAUUGUAUAUUUAACUUCGGCAUAAUGCUUUCAUAAUAGUUUGUUUAACUUUGCCGCUUCAUCCAGGAUUUCAGUAUUUAAUUAAUUUUUAAAAUUUAAAAAUAUUAAAAAUAUAUUCUUUUUAUAUUUUAUAUUAAUUUUAAAAAUAUUUUUAUAUUAAUUAAAGAUGAUUUGACAAAAAAAAAACCUUAAAUUUAAAAUUUUAAAAAAAAUUGGAGAGCCUUCAAUUCUUUUUCAACUAGUUUUGUCUUUUUAUAUAUUUUGAACUCUCAACUAUAGUUGUAUCAAUAUUGUUUGUUUUUUUAUCAUCACAACAUUUGCUUAUAAAGCAAAGUGCCACACCAACAGAUGACAUUCAGCUACGGCAUAGUACUAAUUGUAUAAAAUGCUUAUGUUAAUCGAUAUGGCUCAUUUAAAUAACAUAAAAUAAGUCUUUAAUCAACAACUAGUGGGGUAGAUACUGAUGUUGGGUUACAAGAUCCAACAUGUUUUUCAAUACAUAUAUAAAAGCCUGCGUAUUGCUGUGCUUUUCAUAAUCAUGGUUGCACUUGAAACCAAAUUUGGCUAAGGCGCUGAGAGUCGUAGUCAUUGACCGUAAUCUCAGGAAGAGAGGCGCUAGUAUCUUUCACAUCCAUCACCUGCUCAUUCACCACAUGCAGAACCGUGCCAUCGCUUUGAAAUUGCCAUCGUUCCUCUACCCAUCCUUCGCAAGUUCCUACGAUGACUGAGUACCCUCCUGGAUAUGCACACUUGAGACACCCGUUUCGGUUCUUUUUAGGCCUGAUGGUCCCAUCUGGAUAUAUAGCCCAAAGUUGUUCAUCGUCGUUUUUCACGCACUUCUCUAACCACACUCGACUUCUACUUGCCAGCAAGCACAAACCAUUGUAACCAACAAUGGUGGUCACUGUUGGUUUCGUGUUAUUGCUGACAAACCAAGCUUGUGUAGAACUAUAAAUAUUGCGAUCUACAACCAGAUUAAUCAUGGUUGAGCUAUAUCUACUUGCCGUUAAAACUAGCCCCGAUUUGGGAUUUCUUAUGUUUCCAUCUCUCCGGAUUUCCCAUUUGGUUGCAUCAGGGACAGCUGAGUCACAAUCAUAGAUCAUCACAUAGUCCUUUAGGCUGUAUCCGUAAGUGGUUAGGCAUUUUCCACCGGAUCGAAUUGUGUUAUCAUCUGUUUUCAGCGUCCACAAUUGACCGGCCUGAUUCUCCAAACAUUCUGAUAAAACUAUUUUGUUUCCAUUGUGGUAGCUUCCUUGGUAUACAUCAACACAAAAACCGUCUAGACCAAUAAUAUGCGAGGUUGGUGCUAAAUCUUUUUCACAGGUGCGGUCAUUGUCUUCCAGGCCAGUGGACCUCGUAGCCACAGGCAACAAAGGGGAAAACCCAGACGACGGCGUUGAUGUUGGCAUGCGCAAAAUCUGCAGAUGAGCCCCUGUGUUUCUUCUGCAUCGUGACGGCAUUAUUGCAAUGGUGAAAAUCACUUGCCUCACAGUGCUCAAAACUAAUUCUUGACCAUCAUAUACCAAACGGACUGCUGUUCUGAAGAUUCCAUCUGUUGCAGAUUGGAUGGCGGUGGAUAUGUCUUCCCAGCUAGUUUCAUACUCCAUCACUAAACAACACACUGUAAGUUCCAUCAUGACGAGGCUCUGCAAUUGUAAGCAGUUCCUGUUGGAUGUCUCCACUUCGAUCUGCACGGACUGUCAAUGCAUUUUGCAGAUCUUUCAUAAACAUCUGAUACGACUUCCUGUCGGCACCCUUAGUGGUGAAUUUCACCGUGUAAAUUUUGAGCUUCUGUUCAUUUUCUUUGGCAGCGAUGCAGCAUCGUGGUUCCACCAUGAAUGCCAAUACCGCCAACAGUAAGAGAAUCCACGCCUUCAUUUUUCCUUGAAGAAAACUUUCUAUAGGAAGUAUAUUGGGUGAUAGAUUUUUGAACGUAGAGGGUUUUGCAAUGCUUCUAACGGGAAGAGGAGAGCACCUUUUAUAACAAUUUUGGUCGCCAACAUAUCAAACUCCUCCACCACACACAUCAAGACUCGUGUCUAACGGUGAAUGGAUUGGUGGGGCCCCAAAUCUAGUACUUUCAUCCACUAGCAUGCACAAUAUUAAUGUGUUUGUUGAGUAUAUUAUAUUGAUAACCCAUCGUUUAUGUUAGUUCUAAGUAACUCAUAUUCUAUAGAUUGGGUCGCUUAAUCCGAUUGUACCUUCUCUAUAGUGUACAUAAUUAGCAUUUUGAAAUCUCUAACCUUUUAUCACGUAGAUGGUUGUUUAGUACAUAGAGGAAAUAUUGCAAACAAAUGAGUGGGAUGUAAUAAAAAAUAAUAGAGAGUAAGAUUAGAGUAAAUCCACUAACAAUGAGCGUAACAACAGGUGGUAGUUGUCAAUCAAACUUAACAAAGAAGCAAGUUGGGAGAAUUUCAGAGAAAAUCUUUUGAGAGGUUAAAAUGUGGAAAAUGUCAAAAGUGUCAUGAGUUCUUUCAUCAAUUGUGAAAGACUCGUAUUUAUUGUGUUUCAAGAAUAGGAUUUACAAAUAUAAUAAUUAAUAUGAAUAAUGUAAUUAAUUUCCAGUUAUAAUUGCAUUAAAAAUUUAAAAAAAGGUAGUGAAAAGUUUUGUGAGUAAUGGUGAAUAGUGAAGAAAAAUUCCGAGGAUAAUUCUUAACUACUUCGAUGUCUGAUCUACCAAACUAAGCUCUCCGGAACAUCCCAAAAGUAAAGGUAACCUAAAAAUCCUGUCAUAUUUUGAGGUUACUUUCACUUCUUCUAUUUUGGCAAAAUAGUAAGAUAUGAAAUAUCUUUAGCGAAACAUUUCUUAAAAAGCAAGAUGUGGCUGUUCUUAGAUGAGAGUCGUUCCUAAAUAAUGAUUUAUUUUGAUUUAUUCCAAAAUGUGAGCUGCUUUUACAUAGUUAUUCUCAGUGUAGAGGUUGCUUCGAAUAAGAGGAGUUAUGUGGUGAUACUUUUUUGGGUAAAACUUAUUCUAAAUAAUGGCUUUUUCAAAAGAAGAAAAAAAACACAUUUGUUUUAAAUACAAAUUGUUACAAACAAUGAUUGUUCCAAAUAUAACUAUUUUUGAAACACUAUUAUUUUAAACAAGAGUUGUUCUGAACUUUAGCUGUUCUUAAUAAGAGUUCCCAAAUAACAAUUGUACUGGAUGAUAGCUAUUUUAACUAAAGUCAUAUUCUGAAUAUAAUUAUUCUCGAACAACCAUUUCAAACAAGAAUUGUUGCUUCGAAAGAGAUAUACAUAAUUUCUUGAAAUAUAAUAGUUUUUAUCUUUAAAAAAAAUAAAAAUGUUAAUAGCCAAAAAUGAAUAUCUACGUGUGAAUUAUGUUAAUUAAUGUUUAAAACUAUUAUAUGAAGAUAACAUUUAUAAAACAAUACACGUAAUUAAUUUUAUUUUAAGAAAGUCAAGGGUAUUUUCAUCCUAUCUUGUUUGUUAGUGUAUGAGUUUAUAUAUUGAUAGUAAAUAAAAUAUAAAUUUAUAUACUAAUACGAAUAUAGUUCAUGAGUUAAACAAAUAAGAAAAAAAAAGUGAAAGUAAAAAGUAAAAGUAAAAGUAAAAGAAGAAAAAACAAAAGUAAAAAAAAAAAAUUGAUGCAAAAAGUAAACGAAAUUUUAAUUCAAAUGGUAAGUUUAAUAUUUAAAUAUAAAGAUAUAUUAUGUUGAAGUUUCAUUCAAUAUACGUGUUUUUUUUUUUAAAUUUAUUUUGGGUUUUAAAUUAUUUUUUAUAGAUUUUAUAUAAAAACGUAAAAGAAAAAGACAAAUUUAAUAUCAAAGUAUUUCAAUACAGUAUCAAUGAGAAAUGAUUUUUGUUAUAAUAUUGAUAUCAAUGAGAUAUGAUACAGAACCUUGUGCUAACGUGUAUCAACUAUAAAAACUUAUUUUGAAAGUGAAACUAAGAAUGACGAUAAAGAGGUGAAGAUUAAAGAUGUUUUAUGUAUCGUGUUGCUAUUAGCUUCUUCUUCUUUUUUAAUAAUUUCUUACGUACACGUGAUUUCGAAUGUUGUCUAGUUAACUUUGUUACUCAUUUUACUAUUUAAUAAUAAAAUUUAUUAAUCAAUAACUCAAGACUAUGUUAUCCAAAUAAAGAAACAUCAUGUUGCAUGAAUGUAAAAUGAUUCAAUAACAAUUAAGGGUUAAUAUUUGAUGUACUAGUGAAUCAAAUAAUGACACAUAAUCCGAUUAAAUCCAUUUAAGAUAAUGUGUCAUCAUCUGAUUUUGAAAGUUGAAAAUUUUGAAGGUAGCUUGUGCGGAACUAAAGUGUAGAAAAUGACCGUGAUAAAAAUAAAACAAAGAAUAAAAUAAAGAAAAAAAAAAGAAAAUGAUAUGAGGGAAAAACAUCAGAGAAACGAAGCUAGACUUGAAUAAGUCUCUAAUUAAAUACCUUCCUAAAAUUUAAAAUUUAGUCCAUAUAUUUUAAUUUUGAGAUAUUGAGUUUUCUUAUAUAUUUUAAAAAAAAACAUUUUUUUUCAACUUAAUUAUUACUCCAUAAAAAAAAGUUAAAAAUUUUAACAUUUUAAAUAAAUAUUCCUAAUAAAAUUAUAAUAUUUGUUGUACUCAUAUUACGCUAGUUAAGAUAUUGUAUGGGCAAAAUAACCAAGAGAAUUUCUUAACCGUAGAUAACCCUCCUCCAACCUUAACAUUGUUAGACCACGCCCAUAAACUUAAUAAUAAAAGGGCCCAAAUAGGCAACAACUGUUAGGGCUAUAAUGAUAAUAGACAAGGUAGAAGGAAGGAGUCAAUCCGAAGGUGCCUUGGACUCCAAGACUAAGAAAUUUAUCAUGUGUAAGAUACGCCUCAAAAGAAUUAUGGAAAAUAUCUUGCCAUUUUCAUGUUUACAUUCCAUCAUCUCCCUUCUUAACCUUUUUUCUUUCUAAAAUUCAUUUGGCCUAAAAGUUUACUUAAGUAUAGGAAAGUAAUUGAAGUUCAAACUUUGAUAUUUUUUUACUCACCCUUCUAACACGAAUUUUAAAGUAAUUGAAGUCCAUCAUCUCUCCCGGCCACUUUCAUUUAAAAUCUUUAAAAUUUUUAAAAUUUUAAAUUAGUAAAUGUAAAAUUAUACUUUAACCCCCUCAUAGAAAUAUAAAAAUUUAAUUUAAUCUUUUACAAAUUAUAAAAACAUAAACUAUUAAAAUGAUGAAAUUACAUUUUUAUUAUCGUAAAAAUUACAAUUUAAUUUCGACCCUCCUUAAAAAAAAAUUUAAUUUUACCCCUACCUUCUAAUUUUGUAAAUCAAACCAAAUCCACAAUACUAUUGGAAAUAAACUAAGCUACUUGUAUGAAAUCACUCAUAUCUCAUAAUCCAACCAAAUAGAAUACUAUCACCUUCGCCUUCUGGUUCAAAGAAAAAAAAAAGCCUUUAUAAGACAUCCAACUCCUUCAUGCAAACCCCUACAAAGUUUAACCAAUGUAUUAUCCCGACAAAUACAUCAGAACAUUUUGUGACAUAAAAAUCCCUCGAAUUUCCACAAUAGUGGCUACACCAACAUCCACUUUGGAGCAUUCAGGUUAGCACUAAGCUACCAUGGCAAUAGCCAUGUUAGACUCAAGAUAUCUCAAGUAUCAACAUGCAUAUGCUUGCUUAAGUAGUGCAAAAAUCUCACUUAACUCAACAACAAUCUACCUUACUUUCUUUCCCAACUGCAACAUGACACUCAAAUACCCAAAAAAACAUUUUUUUUACAAUUUUUUAAAACAAAUUCAAAUGGAAUUAAAUCAUUGGAAAAAUUAAUUUUCAAUUAAAGUAUGAAAAUAUGUUAUCCCAUAAGCGAGGAAACAAAAAAGCCUAACAACACUAGCUUUAUGAAAUUAGAUAAGAUGAUUUUUAACGUAUUCAUCAUAUAAAUGGUAAACCUUAAAAUACACUAAGAAGCAUAUAUAAAUGGUAAGUUUAUAACAGCGAAAGCUGCUUUGGAGGUGCGGGGAAUCGAACCCCGUGCCUCUCGCAUGCAAAGCGAGCGCUCUACCAUAUGAGCUACACCCCCAGAUGAUAUUCUAUCUCAAUAUUAAGUUAUUGAUAUAUAAAACCAAAAAAUUUGGACAAACUUCAAUCCCGAUUCCAAUUAGCUCAUGGUCAACUCACCGUGUUCAACAACUUUAGUCUUGUAAGGGAUUUAGUGGCACCAUGAUCACUAUGAUCUGAGAUUGUAUUUUGGGGUUUUAUGGAUCAGGGCUGAUAUAAUCACAACCAAAAUGGUAACCCAUGUUCAGGUUUUUGGAUGAGAAAGCCAUUCCGGUUUGGCAGGGUGAUCCACAAAAUUCCUGUCUGUUAACCAUGAGUUCAACAAACACUGAUGGAAGGGGCCAACUACUGCAACCCUUGUUUUUUAACCCAAAGUCCAGCUUUUCCUACUACCAAGUAAGAGCUGUUUUAUAUGUUUCUUUCAUUGCAGAGCUCUUUGGAACAUGCAUUCAAGAAUCUCAGGUUUAAACCAUUUUUGGUUCCAUUUCAUUUCCUUGCUGUAAAUGAAAAGAGAAACAGGAAAAGAUGCUACCUUUCAAACUUGGAAAAUGGAUACAGGAAAACAUUUCAUUAAAAGAAUAUUACCUUCUUUUCAAGUAGAAACAAUCAGUUACAAAGAUGCCAUUACUAAUUCUAUUGUUGCAAAAGAAUUAUCAUGUACUUGUAUCUCUCUCACUUAGCCAAACCAUCUUCGAGCUUGGUUAUGCGUACUAUUGAGGAAGUGCCCUUCCGUAACAAAACUUACCUUUUCGGAAAGAAACUUCAAGUUGAAGAACAAGCUACCUUCUGCUGAGGAUUAUGCCCGCAAACAGCUAGAACGACAACAAAGUGAGGAAAAUUUUCCUGGCAGAGAGUAAUCCAAUUGCAAGGAUGGAUCAGUUGCGACAUCUUCAGCACAUGACCAAAUGUACACCCCUCGUUCGUCCCGGCUGCCUGGAACUGUGUUGUCGAGUACAAAUGCUACCAAGAGUGUAACCACCAUGCUCAUAGACAAGAGUGCAUUUAUAGAAAAAUCAAGCUGACAUGUUCAUAAAACAAACUUGUUAAAACUUUUUUUUUCAUACAAUUAAGGAAAUCAAGAAAGACAUCAUAAAUCAUAAAAUCAAAGAAACCUGGGAUAAGUGUCUGCAUAUCUAUGUAUCAUCAGCUUAGCAACUAGAAUGGCGGCAAUCUAUAUCAAGAUUCAAAAAUAUGCACAACUUCAACUUACUUGUUCAUUAAUGGUGUGGACUGGUCCAUCUGAUGCAGCUGCAUACGGAACAAAAUAACUUGGCAGCAUCAAAAUUGACUCGGGUUGGUACUGUUGGAAAUAAGUAGGAAUGGAUAAACCAAGAAACAAGGACACCCCAACUAUGGUUAUGUUCCUAAAACUUGCUGUUUGCGUGUAUUGCAAGGUUGAGAGGCCUACAGCCACAACAAGGGCCCACAUGAAGCACAAAAUUGCAGCAGCCAAGGACAGUGGUAUUGAAGCAAGAAUUGCACCCACUUUUCCUGUCACGCACAAGUCAAUAAAUCAACAUAUAUUGAUUUCAUACAUGUAAGAUAAACAAGAUAAAUUAUUGAGCAAGGCAUAUUGAAUACAUAUGCAACCCAAUGGGUACUGUUCCAAAACUUCAUAGAGGUAUCAACCAGUAAGAUCAGAUUGAACCCCAAAUCAUUUAAAUCCAUUGAAGUUGAAGAACAUUCUAUCAUCUAUCCGCAAUGCACAUCCAAGCUUGAAUUUUGACUUUACCGACAACUGAGAAGAGGAUCAAGAAAAGUGCCCCAAAUACCAAAGCUCUUCGGCUUGCCAUCUUUGUUAUGUUUAUCGUAUGUGUAUUCUCUGUCAAAGUUGUUGAGCCAGUACCCGAACCCCAAAUUCCAGCAAGCAGGCUACAGAAACCUUCCAAAGCAAUGCCUCUGCUAACUACUCCAGGAGUUGGAGGCUUCGAACUGACUAGCAAAGAGGCAGAGUGAUAUGUUCCGACCUGCUUAGUAAUUGUAUCACAAGCAUCAAUGUAAGGGCCAUUAUCCUUAUUUCUUGUUCAGUGUCUUAAAUUUACAGAUAUUAAAUGUUAAAUAAAGUAUUUCCAUCACACAGUCCAUUUGAUACGAUAUUUUGGCACACAAUAAAUACUAACCGAAUCUACCGAUGCAACAAGUGACACAAUGAUCAUAAUCAAAGACGUCCGGAAAUGGAAGAUAGGGACACCCCACUGUAAAGGGUACGGAAUUCUGACCCAUGCAGCAGUUCUCCAUGCGUUUGAAGCAUCAGCUCUGCAAUGCUUCAUGGUAUAUGCAUGUUUUCUACACUCGUCAACUAAAAUGUUUGAACUGGGAAUGUCGGGACUGCAUCCUUUAUAAUCAUAAGCUCCUCCGGCUGUCAGAAAGAAUGCAUAUAUCCAAGUGAUUGUAACACUAAGAGGAACCUGCAGUGAUCGAACAAUGACAUGACGUCCAACAAAGAAUAUCCCUACCAAAAACAAAGAAUCUACCAUUUUCCUGGACAAACCAAAGUUGUUCAACAAAAUGAACUGCGGUAACUUUUUAAACACUUAAUAUUGUGAUUCUACUUCAACUAUGGUAGGGUAAGAAAGACCUUUCCUUGGGAAGCACUGCUAAACAGCUUUUCAUGGGUAAAAAAAUUCAGCUUCCGUAAUGGCUGAUGGAACAGACACAAAUUAAUCCUUGAAUAGGAGUAGUGAAAGAAAGAAGAAAGAUCAUUCACAUGGUAGUUUUCAUCUUCUUUUUUUAAACUUUUGAGAGCAAUGUGACCUUAAUCAUUCUUAUGAAGGACAUUCCCACUCAGUUAGAUCUAUAUGACAAAUCCAUAUUACAUCCCAUUUCCGACUCAAUUAGACGAUGCAAUGGUACAAAGAAUGUAUUGCUUGACAGUAAAAUAAGUUCAAUUUUUAAGGAAACUGAAUUAAAUAGAGCUUGGGGCAUUUUCAGGACAGAGGGGUCCUUUAACCACACCACAAAAAAACUAGAUAAAAACACCUUCACUGAUAACAUGGGGUGAUAAACAAUUGGUAAACAAUGGUAACAAAACAAACAUGACAAGAAGCAACAAAUUAUCUUGUCAUCCACCACUAUUAGGCUUUCAUCAUAAUGAAGUGAGAAACUUUUACGGCAGAUAGCCGGUUAGCUUUUAGCUGGUAGCUCAUUACCCCAAAGAAGGAACUCAAGAAAGGGUAGCUCGUGAGUAACACUAGAUAUUAAAAACAAAAUUGAGGUCAAGGUUUAGAAAGUAUAAACAAGAUGAAGGGUGAGAGUACGUACUGCAUAUAUUCGAAACAAUCGGUGCCCAAAAAUGGAUAUUCCUCGAAGAUACUAGAAAAAAAAUGUAAAAUUGAGUAACUAUUUGGAAGACGUCAUUAAAAGGAAUAAUCAAAAUUAAAGUAUCAAAUAUGUUCAUAUGCUCAGUAGCUACCCAUAUUCAAUUUGUUUUGCUCAGGAAAUCACUCACCAGGGUACAUAUAAGAACCAACAACAACAAGGGAACACUGACUUCUAUACAACUACCAGCUUGUGGAAAGCCAUAACUAAAGAAUGCUAAACCCACAGCGGCAACAGUUGGUGCAACCACAACUGGGUUAAUCAAUCUGCAAAGUGAGAUGAGAAUGGAACAGUUAACUCCAUAGGUGGUUUCAAAUUAUAUCAUUAACUAAAUGGUGUGCAGAUAGUUGACAUGGCAAUUUCUAAUGAUAUCCAUGAACAAGGAUUCUGAUAGAAUUACCUCAGUAAAAGAGACAUCAAUCCACUGAAUCCUAAGAUACUUUGGAAUAUUGAACCAACAAUAAUAGCUCCUUGCAGCUCUCUCAUUAUGUGCCUGAAUUUCUGCAUUAAAAGAAAAAAAAAUGUAUUAUUGGAACUAGAGUCUAGAAAAAGAUAGUAUUGCAAGAAACACUAGUUUAAGCUUGCAAGACAUGAACUAGAGAUGCGCUCAAUCUUCUUACAGAUAGAGGAAAUUUUUUAUGAAAAUAAAGAGAUCACGUUCAUUAAUUUGAUCAGAAUUUAGAGGAUCAAAGCCAUUUAUGGAGAAGUUAAAACUAUAUAAAAAAGAAAAGAUAUUGACAGCAGAAGGUAAAGCACUCAUUUUCCUCUGCUUACAUGUUCUGUGAGAUUUCUAUAAUCCCGAGCAUUGAUGAUAACUAGCGCUGGUGCUAGAUAGAUGAAUGAACUUCCUUGAACUAAUGGAAGCCGGGUGCCAAAGUAGGAGUGCAGAAUUGUACUAAUGCCAGAAACUAGCAGCAUUGUAGAAAUCACACUGGCAGUAUCUUUCUGCAAUGCAUAUCAGAAAUAUCACUGCAUUUCAUAUUCCAAUUCUGCUGCAAGUCAAGCAAUCAAUAAUUCCAUAGGAAAGGAAGCUUACAUCUGUUCCGCCCAUGGCUGGUACCAUAACUGAUGGAAUGAAUAUAAGCGAACCCGCCAAUGAUAAAAAGUGCUGCAGGCCAUAAUAUAUUAGUGCUCCUGUAGGUAAAGAUAACCGGAUGAGAACCGGUAGUGUGUACUGAUUUCUUCCUAGUUAUCCAGGACAUUUUAAGGAUUACGUGGCAACUACAAGAUUCAAGAACCCUGUAACUGCAGAAAGCAAUUCACGAUUUUGGUUUUUCAGUAGUUGGUAGCUACUGAAAGAUCAAUAAUAUUAUGUCCUUCCCUUUGGUUAAAGCCUCAAAUAUACCCAUGAUAUAAAUACGAACCAUGUUUGAAUUGGAUAUUUCAUAUAAAUGUUUGACAAUUUUCUAAGCUGACCAUGCAUUGAUGAGUCCUUUUAUACUUUCACAAAUCACAAGGGUAAAUGAAACAAAAAAACUAUAGUAGAACUAUCCAAGUUAGAACAUUAAGUCUAGAAAAAUCCAAACGCUCCAUCUGCGUGGAGAAGUUUGCUGAAAAAAGUAGAACUUUUUCAAUUUUCAUUUUUCUAUGAGCUUCUUCAAUUUUUCCUAGCUCUUACAGUAUCAUUUUCUAUGCUCUUUAAAAAUACACACCAAGCCAAGCCAUAGGAGACAUUAUCACCAUAUCAACUCCAGCUUCUAGCUUCAUUCAGUAAUACAAUAUCCACAUAGCUCGGAAAUCUAAAGUAAAUAACAGCCUACUUCAGCACUAGCUAACAUUAGUCGGUUCCAGCAUUAUGAAGAAAACAGUAAUCAAUUCAUCUUCAACAAUGAACAUAAACAAACAAAAAGAAAAGUUGGAAAAAAGGAAACUAACCCAAACCCGGAUUAUCUCUCAACCCAACCUUCAACCCGGGAUGAUGACCAUUCCCCCCUUCAUGACCCUGCUCUUCACCUUCUGGAUACAUCCCAAUUUCCACAUCCCUUCCACCCUUUCCUUCCUCAUCCUUCUCUUCAACAACUAGUGGUGUAACACUUGCAACUCCAUUUCCUUUCCCAUUCCCAUUCCCAUUUUCCACCCCAUUCCCGUUUAACCCAACUUUCCUUUCCUCAACUUUCUCUCCCAAACCAUUCCCAUCUGCAACUGUCUUCCUUCCUUGUCUGGAUCCGGACCCAGAACCUGAAUCCAUUUCAAUUUCAACACCCAUAUUGGGUCUAGUCCGGCCCAAAACCGGAUCAAUCUCUAUUUUCGGAGAUGACCCGCCUGCUCUUUGAUCACGGCCACUUUUUCCCACAUGAAACCCAGUGGAACUGUCGAAUCUUUCAGUAGAACUAGCAGUGCCGGUUUCUCCAGAUAAGUGAGAGACGAAACCGGUUCUUUUAGCCCAAGAUCUUAACUCUCUUGGGUUAUGGUUUUGAUCUUUUUUAGGCACAAAAGGUUCAAUCUUUGGUAACAUUGAACCAAGCUUGUUGCCUCUUCCAUUUGAAGUCUCUGCCUUGUCUAGUGAAUCUGAGUUCGACCCAGUUUCCAUUUCAGCUUCUUCUCAAAUGCGUACCAAUUCUUUCCCCACACACACACAAAAAAAACGAAUGACUAUUAAAAGGACCUCAGUGAACUACCAAGAAAAACCGAGAAAAAAAUAAAAGAGAGAAGGAAAUGUAGAAACUAAGUAAAGGCAGAUCGGUGCAGGGAAAGAGGAGAAAUUCAGAGGAAAAUAGUUUGGUAUGUUUUUGUUUGUAUUAUUAAGGAAAUUGGAAAGUAGGAACUGUGAGUGUGAAAAGUGAGGGAAUUUGUUUAUUUUAUCUUGUUCACUUUUUUUGGUUCUGCUUUCUUCUUCAUUGCCGCUGGCCAGUUGCUAUCAGUUGAAGUUUAUUAUUGCAAAUUACCCAGUUGCCACUGUAACGGCAAAAUUGAAUCCAGUCCUUCUCUUGUCCUUUUAUUUCUUUUUCAACAAAAAUCGGGCAUAAAUGGAUUUUUUUUCAUACCUCCAUCCACUUCCAAAUUCCAAUCCAAUGUAAAUAAAAUUUAUGUAAAUUUCUUAGUUUUUUAACUAUAAUUGUGAUCGAAAUUAAAAUAUGUGCUAAACUAAUAAAUGUAAAACGAGAUUAGAGAUUAAAUUAAUAUAAUAUAAUGUUUUUCUAAAAUAAGUUAUGAAUUGAUUUUAAUAUUGAAUUGGAUACCUAAAUCAAACAGCGUUAUGUAAUAUAAUAAAUACUUAAUUGGGUUACCAUUUAAUUUAAUUUUAAUAAAAGAAUAACUAAAUAAAUUGAUUUCAUGUAAGACUUACCAAAUAUUUUCACCGAGCAGUUUUGUGUAGACUAAAAUAAUAAUUCAUCAUAUAAACAAUAGAAUCAUUUGAAUCUAUUUGUAAAUGUAAGUUACCAUCAUCAGAAUCACAUUUUAUUUUCCUAUUUUUGUGAUAUUGACCUACUUUAUUUUCUUUUUCCUUUGAAAAAUACUUAUUAACAAAUUUUAAAGUGAUGAAAUGAAAUUUCUAUCAACUAAUUAUUGAAAUAUAAAAGGAAAAAUUAGGCACAUGCCAUUUUUAAAAUGAAUUUAAUAAAUUUCUUAAAUUUAGGAAAAUAAAUCGAUUUUGCAAGAGGUGAUUUCAGCUUCUCUCUCCUGUCACGUCAGCAUAAUUUAUUACUAAUUUUUGAAGGGAUAAAUAUCGAAAUUAUAAAUGAACUCUGAUUCAAUAUGUAAUACUAUACAUAAACUUUGAUUUUGUACAAUUAUGUAUAUGAAAUUUUGUUUUGAUUCAGUUUUUUAUUUUGUAAUUUUAUUAAAUUAGCAUUAUUUUAUAUAUUAAUACAAUAUGAAAAUAAAUAAAUAUAUUUAUUAAUUUAUUCAGAUGUGUACAAUCGAAUCAAAAUCAAAGUUUUAUAUAUACAAAUAAACCCUAAUUCAAGUUUACUAGGUAUAAUUGUACAUUAAUAUGAAGUUCAUGCAUAAAUUUAAUAUUUAUUCCAUUUUUAAACAAAUCAUUUGAAUAGCUCGGAUUCAAGGUUGAUAUAAUUUUUAUUUAGAAAAAUUUAACUGCAAUCUAAUUAGGUUUAUGAAUACUUCUGGUAUAAAAAAUUACUAAAGUUAUUAGGAUUUGAAUUUUAAAGUAGAUGUUAUUUUUUAAUUAUUAACUUUUAUUGUAUAAGAGAUAUUUAAAAAAAAUUGAACAAAUUUAAACUGAUUUCGAAAAUGUACAAUUAAGCUUAUAAAAUUUAAUUCAAAUUAAUUUAAUUAUCUACAAGAUUCAAUUCGAUUUAUAAAAAAAAAUUAGAGAUAUUUCAAAUUUUCAACCAACAAAAAUAAUUUUUAUUUCUUUAGAAAAUGUGUUUAAUUGAAAAUUUUAAAAAAAUAUUUUUGAAAAACAAUAAUAUAUAAAAUUUAGAAAAUACAAAAAAAAAAUAUUUCCAUUGUUUUGGCUAAAAAUACUUUACAAAGCUAAAAAUAAUGAAAAUAAAGGGUUAAACUAAAGUCAUAUAAAAAAAAAAAAAAACCAAAACGGAGAGAAGUUAAAAACGCUCCCAAUAAAAGACAAUCGAAAUAUUUGUCUAAACUUACUAAAUUCGUUUUAAAAAUAUAUACCUAAUUUUUUCCAAUAUAAAAUUAGGUUAUUAUUAUAAACGUGAAGAGGAAGAUUACUUAGAAUUCAGGAUUUGUAAAGGAUAGCUUUUUGAUUAGCAAAUAGAAUUGGACAAUUACAAAAAAGGAUUAUGGGUCCCAACUUCCAACUCUCUCUACUUUCUUUCUCCAUUCUCAAUUCUUAUUCGUCACUUCAUUUCUACAUUUUAGCUUAAUCUUUACUUUUUCUUUCCUUCCUUUUUCAAGUACACAAAAAGUCGCUGUUUAAAUAAUAAUAAAUAAAUAAAACCUUACAGUCGAUUUGGUUGACAUGGACGUGCAGUUUGCGGUUAUCCACUAGAUUCUUUAAUUAGAUUUUAAUUUUUAAAUAGUAUUUAUUUUUUUUUCAAUUUUAUCAUUUUAAUUAAAUUUAUAUAUUAAUUUAUUUUUAUAAAUUUAUUACAUAAAUAUUUUCAUGUGUAACAAAAUCUAACAUCGAGUUUAAAAUUUUGACAUAUGAGAAAAUAGCGGUUAAAAUUGAUUUAAUUAACAUAAUUAACGCAUUUGAUUUUUCCGAUUUCUAGUUGAAUAAAUUAAAAAUUCAGUUAAAUUAGUUAAAAUUAAUAUCCGAUGAAUAUUAUUAAAAAUAAAUGGAUUAAAUUAAUUAGGUAGGAAAAAUCAGACUCGAAAAAUCAGUUGCUUACACUUAAAUCAGAUUGUUUUGAGCAAUACUUAAUCCAUAUUUAUAACAUAUUGUAGCUUAAAUUUUUUUUAUAAAAUUGUACAAACCAACUCUAUCAAAAUUUUUUAUUCUUUUAUGUUCGUCCUUAUACAAUUUAUAUUGGCGUGAAAAAUUAUUAAAUGUUUUUAUUUGUUGCAUUUAUCAAAAGUUUGGACUUUAUUGUUGAAUAGCCAUUUCAUUUGAAUUAUUUGUUUGGAAGGCCAUUUGGCGGACGAAUAAUGAAUUUAUUAUCAAUCACUAUAGAAGAAGAGCAAUAUAUACCUCUUUGGGUUGAUAAUUACAACACCACUACUGCCUUGAAUCAGAAGCAUCAAUAAUAGAUGAUUAUGUAAUGUUUUAACUUUUUCACUUAAUACUGAAAUUAUUAUUAUCUUGACAAUUUAAACCAUUGAGAAGAAAAUCUAUUAUUUAGUUUAUACCAUUUCUAACUUGAUUUUACGCUUAAUAUAAGUGAAUUUCUUGCAUAUUCACAGUAAUACUAUUUUGUAGAAAGAAAUCUGAAAAGAAUUGUCCGCAAUAUCUUUGUUAUGCGGCAGAUCGGUUCAACUACAUGUAAAUCCAAGGCUUGAAUACUGAAACAGAGUGACAUCCUGGAAAUAUGCAUGUUCUUCCAUGUCAUCUCCAAUCAUAGGAUGUUAGCCCUGGAAAUAUGCAUGUUCUCUGAUUCUAAUAGAAAACUUGUUUGAUAAGGCGGAAAUAUUUACUAUCAGCUGACUUAUUGGAUUCCUUUCAAUAGUUCCUACGAGAAGAAAACCACUGAUGCAAAGAGUUGCUUCCUUCUGCGAAUUUAUACAAAUCGAAAAGAUGAAAACGAUAUGGCGAGAAAUAAUAGCCAAUGCAGCAUUUUCAGUCAAAACAACAUAUAUAAGCAUCUAAUUAAAGCUCGGAAACACCCGGUUCGCAAGUCAUGAGGAAGAACUGCACUAUGGAAUUCAAUGGAGCUAAGGAGAUGAAAUUAUAAGUCCAAAGCUUCAUCCCAUUCCAUAGAAAGCUAUUGGCAGAGACAUUUAACUGUGAGUUGUGAUUGACAAUGUUUGCAGUAUUGUCUGUAGGCAUACUACCAAGAAUGUCAAGAUAGAUUUUCAAAAGCAAAUAGAUGCAGAAUCAUAAAGUAGUAAAACUAUAGCAUUGACCGAAUUCGGGUUUCUUCUGAAUUAGAACUAAGGUCGAACAUGAAUUGUUACCAGAAACUACAAGGGACUGCUCCAAAUGAAACAAUAAGGUUGGAAGGAAGAAUGGUGCCAUAAUGGCAGCAAUAAUAGUCAUUUGGACAGUUUGCAUUAACGAUUGCUGAUCCAUUUUCUCAGAAUCAUAGAUACCUACCUCAUAAUAUCCUAACACUUCCCUCUAGCCGUUAAUGAACAAGUAUGCAUCAAUGGUUAACUACCAAGUACCUCAAAAUGGUAGAUAACCUCAUAGUAUCCUAAUACAUUAAUAUUGUUCAUUAAAAUGCAUGUUCCAUACAGGCUUUCUAUUCCAGUGAUGUAUGCUGCAAGGAUUAUGUGCAGUGACUAUGCAAGCACGCAAUAGGAUGUAGCACCAAUUUUAUGAUGUUGCAAUUGUAACAUGAGUUCUAUCGAACCCGGUUUCAAUAAAACAAAGCAGAAUUCUUGAUAAGUUAUACUUGUCUCGAUAGCUUCCAAGUACAGACAGUAAAAGCUUUAGCUUACAGUCAAGCACAAAAAAGGCAUGAAGAACAAUCCGAACUUAUUCACAAAAACUGAUUUAAACAUAUUCUAGCCUUUAUUUCGAAGAAUGGGGAGCAUUUAAAGACACCAUAAAUCCAAUCAACUAGCCUUAGAAAUGAUCCACCACCAAUAAAAAAAAAGGGAUUGAGCAGUUACCAUACAAAAACCCAUUUGGCGGGUUCUUUGAUUGCACUCGGCAGCUGGUUACUGGGGCCAUUUACAAGCUCCUUGUAACCACAUUUAUAACAAGGAACGAGAACAGCGUAUCCACCAUCAUCUUCAUCACCAUGAAAGCCAGGGCCGAGGGGUUCUUCCCACCCAAUGCACCAUCUGAUUCAUAUCCAGACAAAUGUAUACCAUCUGAUGGAACCACCACAACAUCAAAUUCUUUAUCAAUGACCCUCCUCUCCUCACUGCCUUGCCACUUUCCAUUUCCGGAUAUUUUUGUUUGGAAUUUAACAGUUUCAGCCCCCCAAUCAGAAGAAGAAUUCCCAGAAUUCAGAGAAGCCCCUUUUACAACAGGUUGUUUCUCUUUACUUGCACCACGGCUAAAUCGCCAUGGAAAACCAGGAAAAGAAACUGCCAUUUUUCUUAGUAAUCUUAAGUGUAAAGACCCAAUUUUACCCGGGCCUAGUGCCAAAAAUAUUAACCCGAGGCCCAAUUACAAAAAUAAAUACCCAAUAGCCCAAGGCCCAAAAUUCAAAACGGCCCAUUGGGGCCCAAAAAACUAAACAGCACAGGGAACCCUAGGGUUCCCUGCCCUUUCGCGCCGUAGCCCUACUGCCCAUGUGCGCUAUUCCCUCGGGCGUACCAUCCGCGCCUCGUCCCGAGGCUUACCUGACACCCUAGCCACCGCCUAGCACCAAAACGGCAAGCCACGCCUCUGCCUUCGUCAAGUACCUGCAAGCAACAUAAAAAAGGGGAAUAGAAGCAGCAAAAGGGGCAGAGAAUGGGUUGAUUUUCGGCUUUAUAAGCCUUGAAAAACAAUGUAAAAAGGGGGGCUUAACCACUGUAAAAAAAAGAGUCCUUUAUUUUCUCUUCACAAACAUUUGGGAAAUAAAGAGCAAAGAGAUUUCUUAAAGGUUUUUUAGAUUUGUUUUUAUUUUCUGAUCAUAUUUUUUUGUUUAUACUAAAUAGUAAGAAACACUAGAAAAAUCAAAAUAAAAAGAAACCUUACCUUUGUCUUGCCGGGAAGAGGAGGAGACGAAAGGUUUCUCCUUUUUGGGGGGUCUGGGUGCACCUUUUGCGGGAUUCGACGUUUGAUAUGUGCUCUAGAGGUGGUUGGCUUCGAAGGGGAUCGAAAGGGGCCCUUUUUGAGCCUCCGGCCGCCGCAUAUGGUGGCGCCGGCGCCGACGACUGGCGACCGGCGGUGGCCACUGGUCGUAGCUAUGGCCGGAUAUGGAGAUAGUUGAGAGAGUUUGGCAGAUUUUUUUUUUUUUAAAUGGGGCUGAAAUGGUUUUUGGGGUAAAAGAUUUGUAUUUAUAGCAUAGCCCAUACGGCGUCGUUUUGGACCUAAGCUUCAGGCGUCAAAACGGCGUCGUUUUUAUUUUGGCCUUUACCCGAAUUUCAACCCGACCCGCUCCAGGGAGAUCCGCGUGUUUUCGUUGAGUGGGUUAUUUGCAUCUAAGAUCCUUUCGCGUUUAUGAUUAUUUUAAUUUGGUCCUUUUUGUUCUUUUUAUUCUUUUUUAAAUUCGACCCGUGAAUUUAGCUUGUUUUUCAAUUUGGUCCUAAGACCAUGCCCCACUCUUGGUCGAAACGCAGCGUUUCAAUGCAAGUGAAUAUUUCCCAACAGAUCCCUUACAUGUUAAGCGCGUUUUAUUCCGGUCCCUUAUAAACUCAUUUUAUGUAUUUGUGAUUUAAACCCCGAAUCUUGUUCCAAUGUUUAAUUUAGUCCUUUUGCUAUUGUUUAUUUUUCUUUUUAUAAAAUGAUAUUAUUACUGUUAUUAUUAAGUUGUUCAUUUAUUUUAUUUUUUUGGAAUCUUUGUUAUAUAUAUACAUAUAUGCGUUUUCAUAUUAUAUAUACAUAUAAUAUCUAUACUUUUAUGAUCUAUCUAUAUAUAUACUUACCCUUUAUUUUUUUUUUCAUUUCGUAAUUUUAUACAUACCCAUAUACAUGUCUAUAUAUGUAUUUUAUUUUUAUAAUAAAUAUAUAUAUUCUUCAUACUUUUUAAAUAUGUAUUUUAUAUAUGUAUUUUAUAUGUAUAUGCUUUUCAUAUUUUAACUUACAUACGUAUAUAUGUAUAUACCUAUUUAUAUAUUUUAUAUAAUAAUUUCAAAAUAUGUACAUACUUAUAUUUUGAAUUUUUUUUUGUAAAAAAAAACCUAUUCACAUAUAUAUGUAAAUACUUAUAUUUUCAUAUUCUAUAAUUCGUAUAUAUCUUUUUCCUUCAUUAAUUUAUGUACAUGUCCGUUAUUAUUAUUUUUCUUGCUUUAGUUUUUAUCUAUUUAUUAUUUGUUAUUGUGCCCGCGUAAUUGUUUUAUAUAUUAGUCUUACUUAUGUAUAUUUUGUUUUGCGUGAUUAUUUUACUUACAUUAUCAUCAUCAUUCCAUUACGCUCAUUUUUAUUUAGAUUUCAAAAAAAGAAAUUUUAAAAACAUAAGUAAUAUUCGAUAUUUUAGAUUCUUGAGAGAAUCGAGCCCUAACGUAUUGGGUUUCGAUUUUAUUCGUUGAUCUUAAAUAAUCGAGAUUACUCUUUUAAAAUGAUAAAAAGCUCGUUAUCGAGAAUUCAAUAUGUUGUGUCCUAACGCAUUGGAUGUGACACGUUGUUUUUUUUGAGACGAUGAUUUUUUGAAAUAAAUGCAAUAUUCAAUGUUUAAUAUUUCGAGAAAUCGUGCUCUAACUUACUAAGCUUCGAUUUUUCUCGUUGAUUCUAAGUAAUCGAAUAUCCUUUUAAAAUUAAAUAAAUGAGGUUUAAAUAAAAAAAUGAAAGGCAAGCUUACUCUCAAAAAUACGAGGUGUCGUGUCCUAACUUACUGGAUGUAACAUCUUGUUACUUCGAGAUAAGAAGGCAUUUUUCCAUUUUGAUUUAUUCGAGUAAUUUUAAAAUAACACACAUAAAGAAGGAUUGUAUUUUUUAAAUUCUUUAAAGUUCUCAAUUUUUGACACUAAGACAUUAAGUAAUCAACUAGGUACCAAUUUUGGGCGUAUCGAGGGUGCUAAUCCUUCCUCGUGCGUAACCGACUCCCGAACUUGUUUUUUCUGAAUUUCGUAGACCAAAAUCGUUGUUUUAAUAAAAAUUAAAUCGUUUAUUAAAAACAACCACUUUUCGAGGUGACCUGAUCGCACUUCAUCAAAAAAAGAUUGGUAGCGACUCCCAUUUUCGUUUUAUUUUCAAAAUCUAAGUCGACCUCGUUUUCAACCAAAAAAUGGUGUCAACAUUAAAACUCCACGAACCUAUUCUUUCUUUAAGUCAAAAUUGCAGUUAACCACUAAAUUAGGAAAUAGUUCAUUGAGUGUGAUAACUUAAAAAACAACAAGACCAAAAUUUGAGAUGAUAUUAAUUGGAUCCAAAAGCUCGUAAAUUAAGCUCAAGCAGAACAGUCUGCUCUAUAGAUAUAUCUUCAGAAAAAAAUCAAACUUCAAACUUCAAACUUCAAACCCCAACAUCAACAUCAAACGUCCAAAUUCGCUUACGUGGCUAUCGUAAAAUCCAACGUGAAGCUACCAAUUGUAUUUGCCUGUAGUCUCUUAUCUUAUUUCCUGUUUGGUUGGAAGACAAUUCCUGCAUAUUUUCCACAUAAACAGCACCAUUUUUGCAUGGUACCUUUUGAGUUUCUACAACUGCUUCCAGUGUUCAAAUCAUGCAAAUUAAUUACCAUCAGUAUCUGCAACAAUUUAGUAACUUGAAUACCUUGAAAAGUUGUACUUCCAAACUGCUUCAUCUUCUCCAAAUAAAGAAAGCUUUUCAUUGAACAAAAUUACUUACAGAUUCACUUUCAAGAAUUGCACUCAUAUAUCUAUCACAUGUUCCAAAGAUCUGCCACGUCUAUGAAAAUGAGAUGCUUGACCAGCAACUGGCUUCGUCUUUCAAUGAUAGCAACAGAAUGUGGUUUAUACAAUGCCAGCGGAUCAACUAACUGUUUGAUUGCUUGUUUGGCUAAUUCUGUAUCCAAUCCCUAUAUUCUUCAAACCUUUCAAAUCUUGCUUCUUUGAUUUUUUAAUUAUAGAAAAUUAGUUUCUUUGUUUUUAACUCUUAUUUUCUAUGCCUAUGGCUGGGGGACCGUCGUGGAUCACUUGCGGUGCCCUUCGACCAGUACUGAUAAACUAACAGUACGAGCAUAGGAAACUUAGAAUCAGCUAUAAAAAUAGCACACAUCCCACACUGGUAGGAAACAAAGGCCAACACCCCGAGUGCAAUCCUAUAAACUAGUGACGAGUGCUUAGUUGAAUCACGGAGCCGUGCAGUGAGCGCAGAGCGAACUAUUCUUUCGCCUUUUACUAAAGAAUACCGUGUGCUCGCUGCUAUGAGCGGCAUACGCCAAUUUCUGGAGGGCUCUUCAUGUUGGAGAGCUGCAACAAUUCCAGUUUAAGCUUCAUAUGGUGUUGCUUUCACUUCAAAGAACCCUUACAGAAAUUCAUUUUUGUAACUAGGGUUAAUUAUUUAAGUAGGCACUUUAAUUUUUCUGAUAAAAAGAAGAUUUUCAUAUCUAGUGAAAAACAAAUAGACUAAUUUGUUUAUAUUAGUAUAUAAAGGAUUCUGCAAAAUAAUGGUCUCAAAUAACUAAGAUGCAUUUUCAUUACUUUUUUAAUAAUCUUUACCAAUUUAAAGGUACAGAGAAAAUCAAUUGUGAAUGUUGAUUAAAUAUGUAUUAAAUAUUAUAAAGUGAAAAUAAUAAUUAUUUAAAUUGCAUAUAAUAAAAUUAUUAAAAUUUAUAUAUAUGUUACCGCAAAAAUUAAAAUUCAUAAAAAUAUAAAAUAUCUUAAAUAUAAUUAUGAAACAUAAGUUUUUUUUAGAUCAAAUUAUUAGUUCAUAUUUUUAUGAAUAAAUUAUAUAUUUAAUCAUUGUAUUCUAGUUUAAUCACUUUUUAAUCAUUAGUUUUUAAAUUUUGAACUUUGUCCAGAUUCAAACGAUAGUAGUAAUUUCAUUGGUAAAAAUUUUCCAUUAAUCUCAUAGUAUACUAAGUACUAAGUAGUACAUUUAGCAUAUAUUUUAAUUUAAUAAUUUUAAUAUUUAAAUUUUUUUUAAAAUAGAGUUCUAACUAAUUAUAAAAUUCAUUAAUUAAAAUAAAAUAAUUUUUAUGAAUAUUAUAUGAAAAAUUAAUAUCACACUACAUAUGUAAAAAUAUGUUUCUCGUGUAAUAUUUUAAAAAUAAUAGAAUGAAUUUAAAUCCAAAUCGAGGUUUCAAAAUUCGAUUAAAAAUAUCAAAAUAAAGUAAAAUUUUUGACCUGAGAAAGUUAAAGCAGCGAGUUAAAAAGCCCAUAGAUAGUGGCCCACUUAGCCCAAUCCAACCUUUACUACCUAACGGCUAGUCUCAUUUAAAUUCUAACGACGUCAAGUCUCCGUUCAAUUAAUUUUAAAUUCACGGCAUCCAUCUCUUAACGGCUCUUUUUGAAUCAUAUAUCUGUUUCUUUUGUUCCCUUUCUCUUUUUUUCUUCCAUUUUCGUACAUAUUUUCUCUCCGUAAUCUUUCAAUUCUGAGAAACAGAAAAUUACCAGAAAAAAUUAGACUUUGGCGGAAUCCCCAUCAGAUGACGAAUCUAUUAUCUCUAAACCAGGUACAUUUCUGGGUUUUUCUUAUCUUCUAGUUUUUUUUUUUUUUUUUGCUCAGCUAUUUUUAGUUUUUUAGAGAAAGACUUUGAGAAACCACUCAACCUUCCAUUAAAAUAACAAUAAAAGAGCCAAGGAUCAAAUGUAGGAGAAAACUGAUAACUAAGUCCUUUUAGCCUUAGUCCUCUUGAAUUUAAGAAAAUAAUCAUUUUCUGCUUGUAGGUUUUUUUUUUUUUUUGCAUUGUGAAGUUUUAAUUUGAAAUAUAUACAUAUUUAUUUUGUUGUUAUGUAGCUUUAGAUUUUUUUUUUCAAUUUACAUUUUUUUAUAAUUAGAUUUUGUAUUAUUUUCUGCCCUCCGUUUGUUUCCCCAGAGAUCCAUAGAAAAGAAAAUGACAAUUCGGUUUAAAUUCCUAAAGAAUUCUGAUGGAUUAUACUUUUUAUAUGCUCAUAUAUAUUAUGGUCAUUUUCACUCCUAAAAGAUCUGUGCUUUGCUUACAAACAGGUGUAACUUUUUAACUAUAUUUUCCGGGAAAAAAAAUGGCAAAGGAAAAAGUUUAUGAAGAGCUAGGAGAAGUUAAAGUUGAGAACGAAAAGUUAAGGGAAGAUUUCAUAAGCAAAGCUGAAUUAUGUGAGCACUUGAAGAAAGUGCAGAAUGAGCAGGUAAAGAAGAUCCGAGAAGCGAGUUCCAAAAUCGAGAAGUUGGCACAAGAGCUUCUUGAAAAAGAAGAAGAAAUCACGACAGUAAAGCGAUCAAAUGAAGAACUUAAAUGCAUCCUGAAUGAAAAAGAAUCUGCUGUCAAGCAUUUGAAUGUUGUAAAUGAGAAGCUGAGAGCUGAGCGUGAUGAAAGGAAUCGGAAAUCGGAGCAGGAAAAUCGAAGGUUGGUAUUGGCUUUAGAUGAAGCAAAUGAGGUGAAUAUAGAUCAAGAACAAAAGAUUAAUGUGCUUAAAGCCGAGAUUGAAGGUCUAAAAAUGGACCUAUCUGUUUCAAAGAAGAAGUGUUUAGAAGCCGAGAAGGCAGCCAAAAAUCCAAGGGUGCUGAGGGAAAGAGAAGAUUUGUUAAUCAAAGUAGAGGAAGAGAAGAGCAAGGUUGAAGAUCAGCUAAAAUGGAAGAAGGAGCAGUUCAAACAUUUAGAAGAAGCCCACGAGAAGCUUCGGGACCGGUUCAAAGCAAGUAAGAAAGAGUGGGAGCAAGAAAAAUCUGCAUUGCUCGAUGAGAUUUCUUCACUGCAGACAAGGUUAGAUUCAGAGAUCCGAGUAACGAGAGACCUCCAAAACCGGUUACAGGUGUGCAAUCAAGCCUUAUCUCGUGAAGAAACCCGAAGAAAGCACCUCGAAGUUGAAGUUUUGGAGUUCAAAACACACUAUGAAAACAUUUUCUCGGAAUGCCAGGAUGCAAAAUCACAACUGGACUGCUUGAAUUCUCAGAGGGACAAUGAAGUUGCAACUUUGAGACAUGUAUUGGGCACGAAGGAAUCGUUUUAUAAGGAAAUGGAAUAUCGAUCCGGAAAGCUGGAACAAGAAAACCAAGAGUUGCUGACAUCCCUCAAAGAACUCCGGGAAGCUAGAAUUCAGGAAGCUGGAAGUUCCUCGUCUCUUUCAAAACUGAAAAACAAGCUCAGAAGUGUGGAGCAGAUGCACAAGGACUGUUCAACAAAUCUUAGAGCUAAAGAAGCCGAAUGGAACUCUCAGCGGGAGGAAAUGACUAGGAAAUUAAACGAUUACAGCUCUCAGUUACAGAGUAAAGAUGCCGCUCUUAAAGUUCUCGAGAUGGAACUUGAAGGUUGCCUAUCUUCAGCUGUACAGUUGAAAUUGCAGAAUGAGGAGAUUUCCGUGAUGUUGCUAGUACUGAAGUCGGGAAUGUCAGAGGCUCGACUGAAACUUGCUAAUGUUGAGGCUGAGUUGGGCCUCCAUGAGAAAGAGAGGAUAGAGGAGCUUUCUAUUCUGAAACAGCAGCUGGAGAUGAAAGAUACUGCUUUGGCCGAUGCUCAGAAAGACAUUGCUGAUGAACGUGAGAGGACAGCGAUUUUAUCCAGGAGGGUUGAUACUUUAGAUCAACUUGAGGAUAAGCAUCAGCUAAUGGAAAAAGAGCUCAAUAGAUGUAAAGAAAUGCUCGAGGAAUCAUCGAGGUGUCAACUUUGGUUGAAAGAACAAGCUUUGCAGGUGGAGAAUGAUUCAAAAGAAAAAAUUCGAGAAGUCUAUGAUGCUUUAGAUGCACUGAAUUCUGAACUGGAAGAAGAACGGGAGAAUGUAGCAUCUUUGUUAAGGAGAGUUGAGUCCUUGGAUCUUAUCGAAGGACAGCGGCUCCUGCUGCAGAAAGAGCUCGAGAAGUGCAAGGAAAUGCUCGAGGAAGCCGCUAAGUCUCAAAUACAGUUCAAAGAGCAAGCUUUGCAGAUGGAAAAUGAAUCCAGAGAGAAACUUAGAGAAGUUUGUGAUGCUUUAGAAACAACGAAAUCUGAAUUAACCGAAGAACAAGAGAGAACAGCUUCGUUGACGAUAAGGGUCGAGUUUUUAGAUCAGAUUGAAGAGCGGUGGCUCCAGACACAGGCAGAGCUUAAGAGGUAUAAAGAAAUGCUCGAGGAAGCAUGUAGGCGUCAAUGUCAGUUAGAAGAGCAAUCUGUGCAUAUGAAAAAUGAACUCGGGGAGAAAUUAAAAGAAGUUUCUGAUGCUUUAGAAACUGAAAACAUUGAAUUGGCUGAAGAACGUGAGAAAACAGCUUCGCUAAUGAAGCGGAUUGAAUCGUCAGAUCAGUUGGAAGAACAGUUGGCCCUGAAGCAGAAAGAACUUGACAGAUACAAUGAACUGUUAGAGUCAUCCAGGUGCCAACUUCUAUUAGAAGAGCAAAUUUCUCGGACUGACAGUGACUCGGAAAGGGAACUGAAAGAAGUCCGCAAUGCCUUGGUGAAAGCAAAUUCUGAACUGUCAGAGAAAACUCGUGAAGGACAUGAACUCAAAUUUGAAUUGUGGAUAUGGGAAUCAAUCGCUGAGCGGUUAAAAGCCAAGCUUGAAGAAAGUCAGGCAUUGCGUAAAGAAUUAGAAGCUUCUCUUCUUGCACAAAUGGAUGUGGAGGAAAGUAUCAAGAAAGAGAAAGAAGACCUUGUCCGUAUAACCGAAGAAAAAGAUGGGAGAAUAGUUAAUCUCCAGCAGCAAAUGGUGUCACUAGUGCAAGAGCACACAGUUAGAGAACUAGAAGAAGCAGCCAAUUCGGCAGAGGACAGCGUUCAUCAACAGACAAGAGAACACGAAGCUGAAUUGGAGGCAAAGCAUAUGGAAAUGGAGGCUUUGGUCUAUGAACUCAAGGGUGAAAACAACACCAAGUUGUCAACAGACCGCGAAAACCUUCUUGGAUUUGUUACGAGCCUAGGUGAUUGGAUCAGCGAGUUCUCCGGUGAAGACGCUAAGCUGAUGGGGAUUUUGGGGAGGAUAGUGCAGUCUUUUGACAAUUGCAUUUCAGACAUGAAAGGUAAUGAUGAACUUUAUGACACUCUCAAGGAAAACAAGAAGAGUCUUAUUUCUUCUCCAGCAGCUAGAAAACCUGAUUCUCUUGUUGAAGAAAGAUCACCUUUUAGAGAGCUCAACUAGAAAUUAUUGAUUUCAUUUUCCUUUUCGGCUUCUGUAUAUGGAUAAAUUCGUGCAUGUAUUAUCUGCCAGUAACAGUUUACCACUUAAGAUUCAUUGUUUCAUUUUUAAAUAACAAGAUAGCAUGUUUCUAAUGUAAUUUACCUUGUACGAUUAUCUACUGCAUCAGAUAUGGGUAUAUACAUAUAUAUAUAUAAUAUUUGGAAGGUUUUUAGAGUCAUAUCCGUCCUUGCUCCUUAGUAUAGAUUAAUAUUUCAAACAAAAUAAAUGGACUUUUUGCGGAUUUAUAUGAUUGAAUUCAAUUUUCACAAAUUAUUAACAACAUUAUCGAAUUAGCACCAUUUUAUAUUAAUAAAUUGCAUACACAAACAAUUAUAUUGAUUCGAUAUGAAAAUAAAUAUAUGUAUUUGUUUAUUUAAAUGUGUACAAUUGAAUCAAAAUAAAAAUUUUAUGAAUACAUAUAAACCAUAAUUCAAAUUUACAUAUAUAAUUACACCAAAUAAAAUUACACAUUAAAUUAAAAUAAUUCACGUAUAAACUUACAUAUUUAUCCCUUUCUAAAUUCUCUAAUGUUUUAGAUCAUGAAUGACGACAACACCUGUCCUGCAUGCCAGCUAGGAGAAACGUGAUCCUGAUGUAAGAAAGCUCUAACCAUGAAAUGACAAAAACACCCUCAUAUCCUAGUUCACCAUGCAUGUCCAAAAGUGGUAUUUCAAAUUUUACGGAAAUUUAUUUAUUUAAUAUAAAUAUUUAUUUAAAAGAAUUAAAUGAAUUAUAGCGUAUAGAUUCUAUAACUGGCAAGUGGCAACACAAUCCAUAAAAACAUAAACCCUUAUAUUUAACCGCACAAAAUAUUUCUUUAGUUUUUCGGUUCUUCCCUGUUCCGAGUCUGUUCUCUCUUGCCGCCUCCUAAGAAUCCGAUCCGAAUCAUUUGGGUUUACCCAAUAUUUGGCCCGUCGUCCGACCAUUUCUACUUAGCGGCGACGUUCUGUCGCCAAAACCGACCCUUAAUCCCAACCCCAAUCUCUCUUAAAAGACUUAAACCCCAAUGACUGAUAAAUUCACUUUUUGUCAAAAAGUUGCUAACUCAUCUCAAAACAAUGGUCAAACCAUCCACAAUAAGUCUGCAGAAGACCAAAGACGGGAAACCCAUUCUUUAAACAUGGGUUUCGAUCAAAAGAGAGGUGUAAAGCGAGGGAAAAAUGGGAAAAAUGAGCGGAAGAAAGGUCCUGGAGAGACGGGAAAUGUAAAGGGCUCAUUUUGGACUGCAUGUUCCUACUGCUAUUACAAGUUCGAGUAUGAGAAGAAGUAUGAAGAGUGCCGCUUGCGUUGUCGGAACUGUAGAAAAGGAUUUCAUGCAGUGGUGGUGUCGCCGCCGCCGGAAGGUUUAGCUGUGAAAUAUAGUUCUGGUAAUAGUUCAAUGGGUGACAAGAAGGAAACCAGACGGCGAGGUAAAGGGAAAAGGCAUGAUGUUGUGGAGAUUUCUGAUAGUGAUGAUGAGAAGAAGGAAUUGGGAGUGAAAAUUGAGGCUAAUAAAGUGAAAGCAGAAGGUUUCAACAAUAGUGAAGGUAGUGUUGUAAUGAAAAGACUAAAAUCUGUGGCAAGGAAUACAAAGAAAAUUGCAGGAAGAGGGAUAAAGAUCAAGAAAGUUGAGAAUGGAAUUGCAGAUGGUUGUAAUGAAGAUGAAGUGGAGGUCGUUGAUGAUAUAUUUGUUGGUUUGAGAGAUAUUAGCUGAUGGGAAAUCAAUGGUAUUAAGGGAUCCCUCACCAUAUGCUUGUAUGAUUCCCAACAGUAGACAGGUUAACAUGAAAGCAUAAUGUAUGCUUAUGUAGGCUAGUUUAGCUGACACUGUUGUUUACUAGCCUCAUUGUUGAAAAUAAAAUGCAGUAGUUAUGGCAUGGUUCUUGAAUCUUGACCAAAUUGUCGUUAUUUCAUCGCUAUUAAUUAAUGGAAACUGUGUUAUGGUUCUUGAGCAUGUGUUUUGAUGUUAUGUUUUAACUAUUUGUUCUUGAAGGGAUUGUUAUUCUCUGUUUUGAUGAUUUGUAUGUUAGAAGGGGCUUGAUUGAUAGUGUCAACUACUUUUUCUUUAACUGUUUUUGCAGGAUUUAGAGGACAGUUAUAUUUACUUGUGAAGCUGUUUGGCUUGAAUAAGAAUUCAAGCAGAAAUUUCCUGAUAAUCUCUCUCAAGCUCUGCAAGCCCAGUGUUAGCUUCUUUUGUUCAAAUGAAGAUUGACCCUUGGAUUAAAUCUAUGUUACUUGGAUUAUUUAUUUUCCUAAAGUACCCAUGUGUGACACAUAUUCGGAUAUGGGUACAGGUACAUCCUCCAAUAUAUGUAAUACUUAUGUUGGGCAUAUUCCUAUAUUCAACACACUCAAAAUGUCUUUCUGUGUUAUAGACUGAAUUUGUGGAUGCUUAGAAAUGGUGUCCUAGACACUGUCAUUGAUGUCCUAGACUGAAUUUGGUCUUCAUUCAUACAAAAAUUUCAGAAUGUCAGCUAUAGAAUUUCCAGUACUUCUUUGACUCAUACUGAUACUGCACUUAUAGAGUUUGAUAUUCCUAGAUGGUGAAAUCUAGCAUUUUGUCAUGUUAAGCUCUUCUUGUGCAUUUAUCUAUUAACAGAAUAUUCUUUUUCUGAAGCUAACUUUGAUUUUAGUUUAACUUGCUUAUGUUGUCAUGGCUGUGAGAGAGUUGACAAUUUUUUUUUUAACUCCAGACAUGGAAUCAUAACAAAAUCAUGCAUAUUGGCCAAUAAAAGAAAUUUUCCUUUUUACAUGUUUUGUAAAUAAACUGUUCUUUAUAGUUUAUUUUCAUAAUUAUAUAUUUUUAGCUUAUUAUAUAGGCACGCAUGCAAAAACACACACAUACAUAUUGCACUUCACUUUGGCCUGAUUAUCAUGCAAAUCAUUGGAAUGUACUAAGGAUUAUCCUACACUGUGGCUAUUCCAAUUUUUUUUUUUUAUUUUGUUUCUGUGAAGAAUGAAAUGAUAAAAUUGUGAAACAAACUUCAAGAUCAUAAUCAACAACUCCUAGAUACCAAUAUCUUAAAGAGUUAAAUGUCUAGAUUAUAUCAAAUAUUUCAUAAAAUCAGCCCAUGCUUGAUACAUUAACUCUCAUUUAUUAGCUUCGAUAUCUCUUAUUCUCUUUAUUGCGUGCAUAUGCCAUCUCGCUAAUAAGCAGUAAAAGGGAAUUACCUUGUUCAAUCUUGGAUCAAAAUCUCUCUUCCGAUCUACAAUCUUUCUUUCUACUGAACAAGUUCUACUGGAGGAAAAUCUGAGCUCCCCCAUGGUUCGUCUUAAACAGGUAACGGUUUACUGUUUUUCCCAUUUUCUCAUUUCUUAGUCGAGCAAUCUUCUUAUAAUCAUUUGUUUGUAUCUUCUGGUUUGUACCUACAGUUAGAACAGGAUAUACAACAGCAUCUCAGACGUUACCGUGCUUCAAUUUCCACCAUUGAUUUCAGCUUCAAAAGUUUGAAAAAGGUGACUAAACCUAAGGCUGAGGCCAACAUAGCCAAUGCCCAGAAACAUAAAACUGCUGAGAGGCAUCGAAGAAAGCGGAUCAGCCGACAGUUUGACAUGCUCCGAACCAUCCUACCGAACUUGAUCAAAGUAAGUGACGAAGAGAUUACAUAAAUUUAAUUACCAUUACAUUGAACUGUAGAUAUGAUAUAUUAACUUUUUGCAGAAAUUUUGUGGAAUUUUACUUAUUAAUAACAGCUUACAUAAAACAUGGGUAUUGGGUUUGGGUUUAGGCCUGUUAGUUCAUGAAACCAUCUUUAAGAGGUGAUUGAGGUUUGAAUUUCAGCAUCUGCAGACCCUUCUAUUCCUCUAGUCUUAUGUUCCCAGAUUUGGUGCGAGUGUCAGCCAUAGAUAUUUAUCCUACACUAGUAUGCUUAAUUUGUUUCGCUCACUUUUUCAAUAUAUUAGAGGAUCAUACCCCCAAUCUUUCCAUGUAUCAGAUGCAAAUUUCAAAUACAGGUACUUUAAGAAAAAGAAGAGUUCAGUAACAUAACCCUAAGCAACAGUCUCCUUUAUAAAAAUGAAAGGGUACUCAAGUCAAUCUAUUCAUUUCGUGCAACAGAUGGACAAGGCAUCUGUGUUGGGUGAGACAGUGAGGCAGGUAAGGGAGCUGAAAAACAGAGUAAAAGAAAUGAAAGGAGCUUCUAACGGAAGCUUGGAAUGUGUGCUCCCUGGUGAGUUGAACAGCUUAAGUUUUGGUUUUUCUGAAAAGGAUGGGAAUUUGGUAAAGGCUACAUUCAGCUGCGAUGACAGGCCAGAACUGAUAGCUGAUCUCACACGAGAAAUUAGGAAGGUGAGUGGGACGAUUGUGAGGGCUGAGAUGGUGUUUAUAGGAGGAAGGAAUAAAAGUGUGUUGUGGAUUAAAGGGUUUAGUGGAAAUGAACGGAUGGGGAUGCUCAAGAGAGCAUUGAAAAUGGCCAUAGAUAUACCUAAGAAGAAUUGGAACCCUCGUUUCAACAUCUGAUUAUUCUGUUGUGUGUGAAAUGGUAGUAAUUUCUAGCAGCUAUAAGGCUAUCGAAAAGGUUGGUUUUAUGAGUAUAUUUAAAGAACAAAUAAUGGUGAAUAGUGUGCUUUGUGUAUUCAAUUUCAUAGAUGUAGUUCUAUGACCUAGAACAACAGUUCGAAACACGACUGCCUCAAUUCUCAAAUUUAAUUAAUUUAUUUUCGUAAUAUGAUCUACAAGCACGACACAUUCGAAUGUUUCAAAACACUUACAAGUCGACAUCUUAAAUUUUAAACACAAUAGUUAUGAUAUGAUAAAAUACAGGUACAUGCCAAGCCUAGAUUUAGAUCACGUACCGAUCCUGCCUGUUCCUGGAAAGCUGAGAAAAUUGCAAAGUCGGUUUCACCGCUUAUAAAACACAAGUUCUCUGCUACGAUUGGUUUUGAUAGUCUCUUCUAAUUUCACAAGCCGAUCAAAAUCAACUUUGAAUGAAACCAUGGCAAUCCCAUCUUCGCCAGUAUCAUAAUCCUGUUUAAUGUCCUCUGGUACAAUUGUUUUGCUUGAAAUAAUUAUGCAUACGACUAACAGAAGCUAACGAUUAACCCUAAAAUAUUAAUUUACUUGGAAAACGAGGCAUAAUUCUAAUGCAAAACAAUGCUCACUUGACGGUAUAGAACUCGCGAGAGAUCGAAAGGAACAUCCACACCCAUUGGAACCUUUCGGAAAUUCCAAUCAAAUAUUAGAAUUUCAAUGUAUUGAAAUCGUAAAAUCUUCAAUUGUUUUCUUGCUUUAGAUUUGACAAGACAAAUCGGAGCAUUUCUCAAGCAUUCCGAUGUCACUCUACCGUAAGCCCUAACAAGUCCUACCGUUCCCAAUUUAAUUCCCCCAAAAGUAAUUAAUUUUACCUGAUGACGACCACAAUGACUUUAUCCAAACCCCAAAAAGCAACCGAAGAAUGAAUCGGCUUCCCCGCCGUUCCAGAAGGUUCACCGACAUCACUCGACCGGUACUGAUCCCCAACCUAUAAUCCUUCUAACAACGUCAAAUUAUGAACUGAAAUUGAAUCAGAUAACCGAAGCUGCGUAUUAGAUACCUUAUAAGCCCAGCAAUUGUGAGUGGCACGGGGAUCCUUGACCUGACUGAGGAAAGACUGAGCAGAUGGUUAGUCGGAGAUGGGGCCAGCAAUGACUAUGAAUUUGGUCUUUUCUAUUUCCUUCUCGAAUGUUACUAUCUCUUGGAUUGUGGUAAAUGCGCCUCCAUUAGUGAUGAUGCUGGAGCUUCCGGCGGUGGUGACGGUAGGUUUUUUCUCUCUCGUUGCCGUCAUUAACCGUAUUCAAAUGGAAAGUCCAUUCAAAUUUGGACAAAGCAUCGACAUCUUGUUGCCCAGUCUUUUAAAACUAUUUUGUCGUUAUUAUGUUGAUAGUCAAACCGCUUCGUAGUUCGAACAUUUUUUUAAAAUAUAUAUAUCUCUGUUUAAGGUUUUAAAGACUAGUUUAUCAAUGUUUUUAAAAAUUAUGAAAAGAUAUUUUUUAAAAAUUUGGUUUAAAAUUUGAGUGUUUAGUAGGUUAUUUUACCAAAAAAAUCCUUUUUUAAAAAAAUUUACUGAAAUGGGCCGACUUUUUGAUUAUUUAUCGGAAUAGGUCAUUUUUCGCGAAAUCGCGUCCACGUCAACGCGAUGUCAGGGUACGUGUCAGACAUCGCGUGCACGUCAGCGCGAUUUGCUGACGUGGAAGGAAAUCGCGCCCCCUAGGACGCGAUUUGCUGACGUGGCAUGAACAGUGUGUUUUUAGCUUGGAAAACUUUGAAAGGCCAUAACUUUUGGCUCGGUUGUUCGGUUGAGACGAAUUUUUUUUAUUUCGAAUAACUUUUUGAGAUCUACGCGCUGGCAAACUGCUUAGAGAUGAAUAGGGACUAAUUUGUAAAGUAUAAUUUGUUAGUUACGAGUAUAGGAACUAAAGUGUAAUUAUUUCAAAAUUAGCAUGAAAUUUUUGUAUUUAAGAAUAUUUGAAUGUUAUGGAAGGAUGAAUUUGAAUUUGAAUUGAAAAACGAAGCUUAGAUUUGAAAAUAUGACUAUUUAGGUUUUAGGGACUAAAUUGAAUAAAAUAUAAAAUUUUAGGGAACUUCUCAAAAGUGGAAUGAGCUAACUUAUACCUAUAACAAGAUGAUAUAAGACAAUUCUGCAAAAAAAUAUCCGGUGUUUACUUCAAAUAAAUGAGGAAAAUAACGAUUUGAAUGUUUAAAAAUUCAAUUUUAAACCGAAAAAAUCAAAAUUUAGGGGCAAAAAAGGAUCUUUUUCGACGAAAACUUCGGCAAACCGCCUUCGUCUCAAUCGGACAACCGAGCCAAAAGUUAUGGCCUUUCAAAGUUUUCCAAGCUAAAAACACAAUGUUCAUGCCACGUCAGCAAAUCGCGUCCUAGGGGGCGCGAUUUCCUUCCACGUCAGCAAAUCGCGCUGACAUGGACGCGAUGUCUGACACGUACCCUGACGUCGCGCUGACGUGGACGCGAUUUCGUGGAAAAUGGCCUAUUCCGGUAAAUAAUCAAAAAGUCGGCCCAUUUUGGUAAAUUUUUUUAAAAAAAAGGCUUUUAUUAGUGAUUUCCCCUGUUUAGUAUUGUUGUUAAAAAAUAUUUUUUAAAAAUAAAAUAUCUAUUUUAGACAUAUUAUUAUCAAGUAACAAAUAUGUAUUUAAAUAAUAUUUAAAUUAAUUAAUAUUAUUAUAUUUUAGUAAGAAUAUAAAAAAAUCAUUAUAACUUGUUAAUGUUUGAAUAUGUGAAAUAUAAAUUUUAAAUAUUUUUAAGUAAUAAAUAUUAAUUAUUUAUAAAAUUUAAUUAGAUAUUAACACAUUUGUAUUGUUUAAAAAAAAUAUUUUUUAAUUAAUGAUUUUAAUAUAUUUGUAAUUAAACACCAAGAAAAAAAAUUAAAAAUAUUAUGUUAUUAAAUGGGUGAAAAAGUAAUUAAACACUAAAAAUGUUUUUGGGAGAAUAAAAGCUAAAACUUUUAGAUUCUCAUUUACAUUUAUAAAUGUACUUUUUAAAAACCAAAAAUUUCAAUUAAAAGCAGUUUGCUUAGCACAGAGCCCUAAGCUUUGUUCAGCCAAGUUGGAUGCGGUCCAUUUUGAAAGACAAAAAAAAUGAUAAUUAAAAUUUAUUUUUUAUAUUAAUAGUUGCACAUUAUAUAAACAUAUUUUUAUGGGUAAACUACACCAUAGGUCACUCAACUAUUGAUUUUUUUAAUUUGGUCACCCAACUAUUGGUCUUUUUUAUUGGUCACCCAACUAUCAAUUUUUUAGUUUGGCCACUCAAUUAAUCAAGAUUAUUAUUUUUGUCUAUUUCUAUAAAGUGUCACUAAAUCUCUGACGAGAGGGUGACAUGGCAAUUAAAAAAUUAGUACAAUAAUAAAAUUAGCCCUAAACUUUUACUUAUUAUAUGAAUUUAAUCAUAAUUUCAAAAAAAAUUAACCCUUAAAAUUUACCAAUGAUCUUAAUUUGAUCCUCAAAAUUUAUCUUCUUCUCCCGCUUCCCUCACUGCCAUUACCAUCAUUGUUUCCACCUCUACCACUACCUCCAACUAUCAAUAUUGUAAUAGCAAAAUCUGAAAUUGAUCUAAGAAUAGCAUGCUUAAGAUUUUGUCUUUAUUGUUGUUUGUGGUAGCUAGAAGUAAUAUUGUAUUUCAAAUGUUAGACAAUUUUAGUUAAAGCAAAAUAUAUUUUAUUUCUUAAAAUAUCACACUAUUAAUAUUUUUAAUAAUUUAUUUCUCAAAAGCAUUAUCAAAUAUACUUCAACCCCCAUGAAUCUUAAAAUUCUUAAAUUCAAUAGUAUAGUAAAGGAUACCCCCUUCCCUUUUUUUAUACCUCUUUUAUCUAUUAUUUGGAAAAUAAAAGUUAAUUGUACUAAAUAUCUUUAAAUUUAUUUUUUAAUUUUAAAACAUUUUAAUUAUAUCUUUAAAUUAUCGGUUCUAUAUCAAUUAAGACAGUUAAAUAACAUGUCUAAUCUUAUUUGACAUAAUUUAAAAUAUUAAAAAAAUAAAACAUUACCAUAUAACUUUUAAAAGUUAAAACUAAAUAUAAAGUAAAAUAGAAAAAAUAGAGAACAAAUGAUAAAGCUUUUAUAAAAGCUUCAAAAACCUCAAAAUUGGGAUCUUUACAACAUUUAUUUUUAUUUAAAUUUUUUAUUUUAGAAUAUGUCACAUAAUAUUUAACAUCUUAUUUAACGAUUAAUUUAAUGAUUUUAAUAAUGGAAAGACUAUUAACACAACUUUGAUAGUUUGAAUAUGUAAUUAGAAUAUUAAAAUUUAUGAAUCAAAUUAAAAUAAAAAUUAUAGUUUAGAGAUGUAUAAUGUAAUUAACUCAAAAAUAAUUUCAUUAUUUAUGGCCUUAUUUAUUCCAAAAUGUUAACUAUUGCAAAACACGAAAAUUGAGUAUCAUAUUAAUCAGUACGUAAUGAAAUUCUCCGUACCAGCCAAAUAAAGGAAAGCUAAACAUUCUUUUUUUGAAUAAUUUCAUUAGAUGUUUUGAUCAUAUUUAUUCUUUUUUGACACAAUGUUUAAAACUACCCAUAGCUCCUCUCAACCCAUAAAUAGGAGGAUAAUGCUCUUCAACGCACUUGAACCCACAUCCCCUGCAUUGACAAAAUGUCCAUAUCAAUCGAGUUAAGACUCAAUAAACAAGGAAAACUAAACAUUAAUUGGUAUGUAAUGAUAUUAAAAUUUUCCAAUACAUUUAAACAGUAAUGAUUAUUAUAUUAAAUAUUUAAAAAAAUGGAAUAGCUUCCCUUUUAUUGAACACAAGGCUUAAUAUUUGGUACUUAACACUAUUUCUUAAUUUGACAUUUAAAUUUUUUUUUUAAAUUUAGUAUUUGAACUUACACUUUUUUUAAUUUGAUAUCUGGAUUUGAUAUUUUUUUUUCCUUAAAUUGAUACUUAAUUUUUUGGGGUCCAAUUUGGUACUUAAAUUUGACUCUCUUUUUUUUUAAUUUGAUGCGUAAUUUUUUUUCUUUUAUGAUUUGGUACCUAAACUUAUCAAAGAUUAUACAAAUUACUCCAAUAUACUAACAAUGUUAAUUUUUUUAUAAGGUAGCAAAAUAAUCAAUGUAUGACAAACAUAUAGCAAAUGAUAUGAUAUUUCUUUUUUGUAUUUUAAAUGUUCAAUUAUUUUUAGUUUUAUUUAUUUAUUUCAUUUUAUUAAUUUAAAUUAAUGAAUUUAUUUUAUUUUGGGUUUUUAGAACUCUUAUUUUCUUGUUCAAUAUUAAUCCGUUAAGUAUAGCUAAAUGCAUAAUUCUUUUAACACAAAUUUCUUCUAAUAUUGACGAUAAUUUUGUAACAUAGUAUCAAUUUUUUAACACCAUUAGUGUUUUGAGAUAAUUUAUAUAUCAUUUAACAAAAUUGGAUACCAAACUAAACCUAAAAAAACUUAAAUACCAAAUUAGCAAAUUGUUAAGUACUAAAUUUAAAAAAAUUAAGUAUAGAAACUAAAAUAUUAUACUAAGCCUAAACACAAUAUAACGGUUGCUAUUAGUGUAAGGAAUUCGAUAAGUAGAAUAAAUAGUAUAAAAAAAAUUUAAAAGUAUUUAUUUGUUUAAUAACAUAGCUUUCCAAUAAUUUUAACAAUUAAAAGUUUAUUAUUUAUGGAUAAAUUAUAAAAUAAAUUUCAUCAAUUAUAUUUCAAAAUAUACAUAUUAUUUGUUGUUUGACAUUAUAAGAUGUCUAAAAGGGUUAAAGAAAUAUUUUAUUAUAUUUAGGGGCUGGUAGGCCCCACUCUCUAAAAUCGAAAUUUUUCUAUUUAGAUUUUUUAAAAUUUUUAAAUUUUUAAAUUAAUAAAAGUAUAAAUGUAUUUUAGCUCCCCUACAAAUUUGAUUUAAUCUUUAAAAAUUAUAAAGAUAAAGGCUAUUAAAAUGGUGAAAUUAUAUUUUUAUUAUCGUAAAAAUUCUGGCUUCACUCAUGUUAUAUCAUUUGUUUAAAAAUAUUUUCAUUAUAGAUUUUGAUCAUAAUUUUUGAUACAAUAACUAUAACUAUCCAUAGCUUCUCACCAAUUCAAAAAUAGGUGGAUAAUGCGCUUCAACACACUUGAAUCCACAUCUUCCACUACACCAAAACAAGCUUUUAGCGGCACUUUUAGCGGCGUUUGGAGCAAAAGUGCCGCUAAAGAGUGAGCAAUAGCGGCGUUUAAUUAAAAGCGCCGCUAAAGAGUGAGCAUUAGUGGCGUUUAAGGAAAAGCGCCGCUAAAGAGUGAGCAUUAGUGGCGUUUAUAGAUAACGCCGCAAAUAAUACACCCAGACGGUGCCGUUUUGUGGCCUUUGGGGGGGGACUUAGUGGCGUUUAUUGUAAAGCGCCGCUAAAGAGUGAGCAUUAGUGGCGUUUAUAGAUAACGCCGCAAAUAAUACACCCAGACGGUGCCGUUUUGUGGCCUUUGGGGGGGACUUAGUGGCAUUUAUUGUAAAGCGCCGCUAAAGAGUGAGCAUUAGCGGCGUUUAUAAAUAACGCCGCAAAUAAUACACCCAGACGGUGCCGUUUUGUGGCCUUUGGGGGGGACUUAGUGGCGUUUAUUGCGAAGCGCCGCUAAAGAGUGAGCAUUAGUGGCGUUUAUAGAUAACGCCGCAAAUAAUACACCCAGACGGUGCCGUUUUGUGGCCUUUGGGGGGGACUUAGUGGCGUUUAUUGUAAAGCGCCGCUAAAGAGUGAACAUUAGCAGCGCUUAUAAAAAAAUGCCGCAAAUAAUACUCCCAGACGGUGCCGUUUUGUGUCCUUUGGGGGGGCAUUAGUGGCGUUUUUUGUAAAGCGCCGCUAAUCUAGGUGUUUUAGAGGCGUUUUUGUUUAUGCGCCGCAAAAAAAAUUAUCUUAAUUGAACUAUUAUUUAUAUUAUUUGAAUCAAAUUAAACAUAUUUCUAAUAGAAUAUUUAAAAUCUUCAAUAAAAAAUAACAGGUAUAAAUAAUUUGAAAUAAAACACAUGGAAAAAUUAAAAUAGUAUUAUUUAAAAUAAUUUAAAUUUUAAAGUAUUAUUUAAAGUUUUAAUUUAUAUAUUAAAAAUUUGAAAUUAUUAUCGUAAUUAAAAGAGAUAGUAAGUAUUAAUUUAAAUUUAAAAUAUUUAAUUAAGCGUAUCACUAUAGUUAAUAUAGGGUUUUAGGUUUUAAGGGUAUAUAUAUGAUAUUAUUAAUUUAAGAUUUUAAGUCGGUUUAGGGGUUACUAUUUUAAGGUUAUUAUUAUAAUUGAUCAAGAGUAUAUAUAUAAUAUUGGAUUUAGGGAUAUGGUGUAAGGGCUGAGAUAUAAUGUUUAGGGGUUAGGGUUGGGGUUAGCACUUAGGGGUUAUUAGGAGUUGAUUAAGGAUUUAGGGUUUAGCUAGGGUUUAGAUUAAUUAGUAUUGACAAAUUAUAUUUUAAAUAUGUUCUUAUAUAUAUAACUGUAAAAGAGGUCGUAAAAGAGGUCGUGCUAUUUUAAGGAUUAGGGGGUACAAAUUUAGGGUUUGGGAUGUAAGAGUUAGCUAGGGGUUUAGGGGUUACAAGUUGCAAUCUAGGGGUUAAAGAUUUAGGGUUUAGGGGUCAAAUAAGGAUUUUAGGUUAGUUUAGAUUAAUUUAUUUAAAUAAUAUUUUAAAAAAUCAAUCUAAAGUACCAAUUGAUAUAUUUAAAAAUUAUUUUAAAUAGAAUUCAUAAAUAAGUUAAAAAAUAUAUUGAUAUAUAUUAUAUGGAUGGUUAUAUAUUUAGGUAUAAUUAUUUAUUUUGGAAAUAUAUAUAUAUAUAGGACCAAAUACAUAAGAAAUGAAAUAAAAAAAUAAAAAAAUUCAAAACGGCGCCGUUUUCGAAUGAAUAGUUAAACUUUUAGUGGCGUUUUUAAGAAAAUGCCACAAAUAAUGCAAUUCCAGACCACGAAAACGGUGUCGUUUCUGUUCACAGCUGUAAUAUUUAGUGGCGUUUUUCUAAAAACGCAACAAAAAAUGUAAUUCCAGACCACGAAAACGGUGUUGUUUCUGUUCACAGCUGUAAUAUUUAGUGGCGUUUUUACCAAAAACGCCACAAAACGGUGUUAAUAUAAUCGCUAAACGACGUCGUUUCCGGAACAGAUUUUUAACUUGGAAAAAUUUUAGAAUAAUUUAUUGAAAACGUCAACGUUUGGCUUAAGUAUACGUGGCGGUUUUUAUUAAACGCCACAAAAAAUGCAAUUUCAGACUAAGAAAACGGCGCCGUUUCUGUUAAAAGGUUUAAUUUUUUGUGGCAUUUGGUCUAUAAACGCCGCAAAGGUGUUUUAAAAUUUUUUCUCAACGAUGCCGUUUCUGCAGAUGGCUUUUAACUUAACAUUUUUACUCACUCGUCGACAAAGACAGAAAGAAAAUAUUCUGCAAGUGAAAACGCCGAUUGGGAAGGGGAAAAAACCUAAGAAAAUAUUCUAAGGAAUAAAGGGGAGGAGAAAUCAGAAAUCAUCAAAGAGGAAGCAACGAUUGCGCCAUUCUUGACAGUAGUUGCAGAAUAUCUGGUUAAAAGGUAUGCGUUUAAUCCUUCUGAAGAACAUCGUCUUGAUUUGGGGUUUUGGGUGUAUUGUGUUUUUCGAAUUUGGGGCUUAGAAAAAAAAAUUAAAUUUUAGGGUUUGCGGUUUAGGUUAAAACACCAUUCUUGUUUGGGAAUUUGGGGAACUUGUGAAUUGUUUAUUUAGCAAUUUAAAUAGAAGGGUUUGUUCGGGGUAAAAUUUUGUCUAUUUAGGGGUUGCCCGAAUACAAAACACAGCCAAUAAUAAAACUAGGAGCAUCAAUGGCGUGGCCAUGAAAAUGAAAUUGUUAAGAUUGAAGACAGGGACAGACCUUCCGAUUUUGGGAAAGUCGGAUAUGAUUUGUUGAAGCUAUAAAAAAAGUGCUUUCGCCAAUGACAAAUGCUCCUUUAGUUGGUUUGAGUUAUGUUUUGCACAACUUAGCCUGCUGUUUCUCCAUUACAGCGAUUUUUGGAGAAGCAUAAAAGGGUAACUAAUGGUAGUAUUUGGGUAACUAAUGGGUAACUAAAUUUGAAUAUCUCAAACUAUGGGUAACUAGUGGGUAACUAAUGGGUAACUAAUGUAUUAUCAUCUUUAUGGCUGUGGAUUCUAGAGUUUAAUCUGGGUUCCUUUUAAACAUAUGUGGCAACUAGGACAAUAAGCAAAACUGUUUUAUAUGUCAGUAUAUAUGUAGUCUUGGUUAUUGUGUUAUCGAGAAUAUAUGCCUUUCUUACCAAAUUGGGGAAUCUAGUUUGCCUUUAAUACAUUAAACAACCUGAUAUUGUUCUGUUCUUUAGCAGAUUUUGCUUUUUCUGGUUUGUUUUCUUUUGGAAACAAUGUUGGCAAGGGAUGAAGAAAAUGAUGAAUCAUGUACAAUAUGGGGUUUCAAAAAGUUAGAUUUUGUUAAAAGCCUAGGAAUGAACCAACUUGGAAGAGCCUCAAAACGACUGAAUCUGAUGUCGAUUAUAACUAAAAGAAGCCUACAAUUAAAGAAGUUUAACAUGUACAUGUUCCUUUGGUUAAAAGUUGGAUAAAGGGAGUGACUAAGUUCAUUGAUGGACGGCUGAAUAAUCUCACUUGAAAGAUUGUUCAUAAACUGUCACCCGCCCCAUAUAAUUGUUUUAUGAAUCUUUAUAGUUAAUUUUAAAACUUCAUAUAUGAUUCAAAAUUGAGUAUUGAAGAUAACAUUAAUUAUUUUUAUCAACACAUGACAUAUGUCCAAUCAUGAUUGGUUUAAUUCUACAUUAUAAUUUAUCAACGCAUGACAUAUUGUGAUUAUUUUGUUUAGAUUUUUUUUUGGAAGAAAACUCAUAAAAUAACUUAAAGUUUAAUAGCGUUGUACAUGAUGGAUUUUGGAUUUUGUUAUAUUUAAGUUUUAUACUAAUUCUUUCCUGUUUAUUUGGAACUAACUUACUUAUGUUUUCCUUUUUAUUUUUAUUUUUUGCAGUAGUUUGCUUCGAAGUCCAGGAAAUUGAGGUAUUUAUUCCUAUGUUUCCCACCUCGGUUUUCUUAAAAAAACACCUCCAAAUGUUUAAAUUUUGGAUUUUGUUACUUUAAUUAUUAUUUUUGAGUUUUAAAAGGGAGUUUUAAUUAAAAAAAAAUUUUUUACGCUGUGGGUAUUGGUUUAUUUAUCAUUUUUUAUUUAUAUGUUGCUGGCUCAAUUUGCAUGUUACUUUGCCAAAUUUUUCCAUAACUGCAAGGUAUAAACUAUGAUUGUAAUUCUUGUACGUAUUUUUUACCCAAACAAAAAUAAUUACGCAAAUGAUUAAAAUUCUUAAAUCAGUUUAUAUAUUUGAGUAAGUGAAUAAAUUAUGGGCAAAUAGUGGAUUCGUUUUAAAGUGAACAAAUUAUCGAUUUUCAAGGAUCUUGUCAAUUAAUAAAUUAUCGACGUUAGUUCUCAUUUAUGCGAUUGAAUGUUAAAUUUAUUACUAAAAUACAUUACUUACUAAAAUAAAUUACUUACUAAAAUUUGUUUAAAUUUAUUACUAAAAUACAUUACUUACUAAAAUACAUUACUUACUAAAAUUUGUUUAAAUUUAUUACUUAAAUAUGUUACUUAAAUUUAUUACUUAAAUAUGUUACUUAAAUUUAUUACUUAAAUAAUUAUAAAUAAGAUGCAUAAAAGUGCUAUACUUACAUCAUACAUAUCUUACGUAACCAAAAGAUUGCUAUAAAUAAACCAUUUAUUAAAGAGUAUACCUUAUAAUUAAAUUUUGUUAUCAUGUUAUCAUAAAAGAUAAAAUAAAAUAUAAAAAAAUAUGUGGAAUACUAAAAUUGACUAUUAAAAUAAAAUGUUAUUUUAUUGAAUAUUAUUAAUAAUUAUAAAAAAAUAUGUGGAAUAUUAAAAUUGACUAUUAAAAUAAAAUGUUAUUUUAUUAAAUAUUAUUAAUAAUUAUAAAAAAAUAUGUGGAAUAUUAAAAUUGACUAUUAAAAUAUGUGGAAUAAUCGGAUUAUUACUGAAGUUUUGGGUCCUGAAAGGUAUGGUCGGGUUCGAUUUCAAGGAUCUUUUGUUAGCCCAACCCAAUAUUUUGGAUCCAGCUCCCACCAAUACAUGGCUUCGGGGAGUCAGGCUCAAGCUGAAGUUCAGAGGUUAAAAGACCAAAUGGCUUAGAUGCAAGCGACUACAAUUGAGGUUCAAAGGAAAUAUGAAGAACUCCAGCUACAACUUAAAGCAGAGGCGGAAGCGAGGGAAGCAGCGACUGCAGCGAGGGAAGCGGAGGCUGCAGCAAGAGAAGCAGAGCAGAGCAAAAAGUACGACGAACUUCAGCAGUAGCUUCAGAUUAUGAUGAAGAUGUUUAAGUCGCAACUUCCACCUUCAUAGUGUAUGACAUAAAUAUUUUUAUCAUUUUAACAUUUAACAUUUAACAUUUUUUGCAAAAACAAUAUGAAUUCACUUUUAUUUAUUGAUAUUAAUAUUAUUUUAUUCCCUUAUGUUGAAAUAUUAUAUAAAUUUAUUGCUAUUGGUUGCUUUUGAAAUGUUGCUUUUGAAUUUUUGCUACAGGAGGGCAGAAAAAAUGAAAAAUUUAAUAAAAAAAAUCCCCAAAAUAGUGGCGUUUUUGUAUAAAAGCGCCACUAAAGAACAUGUUCUUUUGCGGCGUUUGUAAAAAAUGCCACUAAAGAACAUGUUCUUUAGCGGCGAUUAGAAAAAAAACGCCGCUAAAGAACAUGAUCUUUAGCGGCGUUUUCCCUUAAGCGCCGCUAAAGAACAUGUUCUUUAGCGGCGUUUUUUCCUAAGCGCCGCUAAAGAACAUGGUCUUUAGUGGCAUUUUUUUACAAACGCCGCUAAAGAACAUGAUCUUUAGCGGCGUUUUUUUCUAAGCGCCGCUAAAGAACAUGAUCUUUAGCGGCGUUUUUUUCUAAGCGCCGCUAAAGAACAUGGUCUUUAACGGCGUUUUUGUUUGUAAACGCUGCAAACAUUUGCGACGUUUUCGUUAGCGGCAUUUUUUCCGGCGCUUGAAGAAGCGCCGCAAAUAUCUUUAGUGGCGUUAAAAAGCGCCGCUAAAGGCCUAAAAAAACGCCGCUAAAAACCUGUUUUGGUGUAGUGUUCAUACAUGAGCAACAAUUCGACAUUAUGUCAUUCAUUUUAAAUGAAAUAAAUCAUUUAAAUAUCUAAUUAAAUAAUUAACCAACUAAAAUAAAUUUUAAAAUUUUUUGAAUGACUUAAUGUUGCCAUUGAUGAUGGAAUUAACAAAUUUUCCUAUAUGUAUAUAAUUGAUAUAUUAUUAAAAGGUUCAAAAGAGGUAAGGUUAAGAAUUAUUUCUGCCAGACUCUAACAAAAUGUCGGAGGCAAAUUCAUAUUGACAAGAUGGCUUCCAUACAUACCUCACCCCUCAUAAUUUAUUUAAAAAAUGAAACUUUUAAUCAUUUCUGGAUUUUAUAUAAUAGCGUAUCCUCCCAAUAGAUUUAUGCCCUACUAUGGAGGCAUGAAUGCUUCAUUAGCAUGUCAUGAUGAUAAUUGUUUUGUACACGAAAAGUCGAUUCAUGGCAAGGUUUGUGAAUGAUCUUUAUAGGUAUGCAAAGUCGAUCAAGAGAAGUAAAUAAGAUGUUUUGGAGGUGAAUUUGGUGUACCGAUCCUUAAAACGUAAGCUUUGGAGGUCAUUGAUAUAAUCUUUCUACUUCUACUUAUACUUAAUUAUGUAGCUUUGUUAAUUGUUUUUCCAAGUUGCCUUUAUCAUUCUACACUUACUUUGUUUGUUGAAGCUUUAGCAAGAUACGCAUGGCUUCGCUGGUAGUUGCUUUUUAGCAAGUUGGGGGCUUUAAGAGGUUGCUCAGAAAUAUCAUUAGGGCUUUCAGAAGUAAACUUGUUUAAGGGUCGGGGGCAACAUUACCUUAAGCUCGAAAGUCUGCUCAAUUUUUAGUAGUGUUUAGAUAAAAAUAUAAUGUUCAAAAAAUGAGGUUACGCAUAAAAAAGAAGAUUGUUUGAAAUAUGAGCAGGGCUCAGAUUGAAGCUUUCAAAGCAUAGCUCGUUUUCUAAAUUUGUAAUAUAUUAUAUUAUGUUAUUUUUAUAUAUCAUGUAUUUUAUGACACAAAAAAGUCAGAUUUUUAUAAAUAGACCUUAUGCCUAGUUCAUUGUUGCUACCAUUGUCUACAAGGAGCAAUGCCUCUUAUUAUUAUUAUUAUUAUUAUUAUUAUUAUUAUUAUUAUUAUUAUUAUCAUCUUUGAUUGGUUUUAUCAAAGGGGGAGGAGACCUUUUGGCUUGGUCCUUAAGGGCAUAAAGUCGACGAGACCUUACACCUUAACCUUCGGUUAAUUCUACUAAGGUAGACGAGACCUCUCUAAGGGACGAGACUCCAAUCCUUGUCUUUCAAUUGUUCUCCAUAUGAGCAUAUUUAUCAAGCUACACAACACAUACCUAGUAACUAUCUUUCUAUUUUAUGAACCUACCUGGGGUGCGAGUGAGAUGGCCUUUUGGGGGUGUGGCAAAGUGCCCCCAAGUGACGCAAACGAGGGACUCCUCAAUGUGUUGGUGAAGUACUCCUUAGGUCCUUAGGUGACCUCCUAAUAGUGUUAGUGAAGGGCUCCUUGGUAGUCCGAGUGAGGGACCCAUAAUGCUAGUGAAGGGGCCUAUUGAUGUGUUGUUGAAGUACUCCUUGGAUAACCCUUUAAUGGUGCAGGUGAUGUGUCUCUUGAUGUGUUGGCAAAGGGUCCCUUAAUGUGCCAACGAAGGACCAUUGAUAAUCCCUAUUGGGUGCGACAGAGGGCUUCUUGGUGUGUGGGUGAUAAGCCCUUUGGUGUGCUAUUGAAGGCUCUCUUGAUGUGGCAAAAGGCCCAUUGAUAUGUCGGUGAAGGGAUUCAUGGUGUGCGAGUGAGGGCUCCUUGUUGAUCGUUUUAUUGGUGCAGUAAAUACUUUUUUUUACAUAUUUGAGGGAAACGCCUUUGUUGCUCCCCAAGGUUAGAAGCUCUCAAAAACCCAAAUAUUAAAAGACUCCAUAAUGCUAAAAGUGUCGGAAAAAACUCAAAAAUGGAGAAAGACAAAAGAGCUUAAAGGAAUUGAGCCAUGGAUUUUCAUCUAGGGAAGAGGCAUUCCCUUUUUUUCUCAAUUCUAACAAACAAUGUCAAUUAUUACAAACACAAGUAGGGGUGGUUUGUGUUGGAACAUAGUGAUAAAUUAUGUUUCUUGUUAUUAAAAGUUAUUGAUAUGGGUCACAAAGGCCCAACUCAAGCUCAAGAACGUGAUAGGCUAUUUUGUGUUCUUGGCUUCCAAGAAUAGCCAUUCAUAAGUGUUUUCGAUUCUUGGCUGAUUUUUUAUUGUUUUGGGUAUUUUCGUUUCAGAUCUAAUUGAUUCUGAGUUAAUUUUCUGUUUCGUUUCGGAUCUGAUUGUCUAAAGCUUUCUUAGGACUUUUCUCGUGACUUGGCAACUCGAUCUUGGUCCGCGCGCAAUCCUCUAUCAGUUAUGUAACUUGACUAUGAACAAAAAGUUACAAUUAUUCAAGUAAUAUCUUAUGAAUAGUUGUGUUCAUUAUUAAUAGAUACGACUAUUCAGAUAAAUAUUUCUUAGAUAGUUAUAUCUCUAUAAAGAGACAUGAUAAUUUUUAUAAAUAGGAGAGAAAUUUCAUUUGCAUAUAUACGAAUAUAUACCAAAAUUUAAAAAUAGAAGUUUCUCUAUUCACCUCCAUCUUAAUAGAAUUUGAUAUUGUUGCUAUACUCCACGUAAAUGCUUAGUGGAUCAUUUUUGUCUAAUGUUUAGUGAAUCAUUUUUGCCAAUACAAAAUAUAAAUAGUCAUUGGACUUGAUUGUAUCAUUGAGACUUAUUUGCUAGUAGGUAAGUUAAUUUUAUCCCUACACAUUAAUGGUUUAUUACGGCGAUUUAUCCAUUUUUGCAUUAAUUAUAAGAUUUUUCAUUAUAUUUCCUUUCUUGGUUCUUUUUGCAAUGGCGUGGCUGUCCUCCUGCUCGAUCCCUCAAUUUCAUUUCUCAUUUAACCCUAAAAACUCAACUUGUCUUUCCCUACAUAAAGCUUCUUUUAUUGCAACAGUCUCUCCUCAGCCCCACUCCCUUUCACUCUCUCUUUUUGGCUUUAUUGUAUAAUGAAAAAUAUGCUCUUCCCCACAAGCCAUUGAUGAGCCCUUUUCAACACAAAGCUUUCACCUUCAUAAUGAAUUAAUUAGUUUUUGCUUUUCCUUUUUCCCCUGGGGUUUUAGUAUACCUCACAUUUUAGGGGUUUCUCUUGAAAAAUGACUGAAAAUCUUGACUGUUCAACCUCAAAUCUUCUCUGUUCUGAGAACACAAGCUCUUGCUUUGAUGGUGAUCUUGAUUUUAAUGCCAUGAACGAGUUUGGGGCUUCCCCUGCUUGUCAUCAACUCUUUAAAAACCAAAUCUUUAAUCAAAAUGACCCUUUCCUUAUGAACAACAGAUCAACUUCUUUGCUGGGUUGUCCUGGUUUUGCAUUACAAAGUGAUGAUGUAAUUAAGGAAAUGGUUGAAAAAGAGAUGGAGCAUUUGCCUAGAGAUGAUUAUCUUAAGAGACUGAGAAGUGGGGAUUUGGAGUUGAGUGCCAGGAGAGAGGCUAUUGAAUGGAUUUGGAAGGUUUGUUUAUUUUGCUAAGCUAUUUUUUUUCCUGAUCAGUUUUAUAUUGACAUUUUACUUGUUUGAUCCAUUUAACCGGUUUUUGUAACUGGGUUCUUGUUUAACUGCAAUAUAGACUUUUCUCAGUAAAACUCAUCGCAUUGUGCAAUUUAAUGGAAUUUCCAUAGUUCGUUUGGAUCAAUCUAUUUCUUAGCUAUUGGUAGCAUUCUUUUAUAUUUAGUAAAUGUGUUUUCCCCCUUUUCUUUCAUUAUUCUUGUAAUUGGACACUUUGUUUGAUCAUUCCUCAGUGAUAAUGUGCUAGGAAUGAUGAUUUAAUCUUUCAUUUUUUAUUAACAGGCUUCAGCUUAUUUCAAUUUUGGACCUUUGAGUCUUUGCCUAUCCAUUAACUACUUGGAUCGGUUCCUAUCAAUGUAUGAUUUACCUGUAAGUUCUCAAAUUAGCUUCAAAUUUGGUUCUUUAAGUUCUUAAACCAUAAUCUAUUCACUGAUUGUUUCUAUCUUCUUGGGGGCACAGAGAGGUAAAACAUGGACUGUCCAACUGUUGGCCGUUGCAUGUUUAUCUAUUGCAGCUAAAAUGGAGGAAACAAAGGUGCCUUCAUCAGUAAACUUACAGGUGAUUACUAUAUAUAUAGAUUGAUUUUUCAUGAUUGUUAAUCCCUUGGGUCUUUUUCCCAAUUUGAGUUUCAUGAUUGGGUUGUUUGCAGGUGGGGGAACCAAAGUUUGUGUUUGAAGCUAAAACAAUACAAAGAAUGGAACUAUUGGUUUUAAGUACAUUGAAGUGGAGAAUGCAAGUUUUAACACCUUGUUCCUUCAUUGAUUACUUCUUGAAUAAACUUUGUAAUGAUCAUCAAUAUCCAUCAUCAACUCCAAUCACUAGAUCAUUGCAGAUAAUAUUGAACACCACCAGAGGUUUAUUUCUCACUAUAUCUAUUUGUUUAUGUUAUUAUUAUUGAGAAUCAAUGGUGUUUGAUUGGGGAAAUGAAUGAAUGCAGGUAUUAAUUUGUUGGAGUUCAGACCUUCUGAAAUAGCAGCAGCAGUGGCCAUUUCUGUUUCAGGACAAAUGCAAAGAUGUGCCAUUGAUAAAGUUAUUUCAUCAUUCAUCUUUGUACAAAAGGUAAAAAUAAAAAAUAAAGAAGAUACAAAAGUGGUGGUGCCUGUAAAUACUUGAAAAACUCACAACAAGAGAAGAGUCAAUUACUUUUAUUUUUUAUUUUGCAGGAAAGAGUGUUGAAGUGUGUUGAAGUGAUGAAAGAUUUGACAUUCAUUAAUGGCACAGCUGCUACUACUUCAGCUACAUCAUCGGUGCCCCAAAGCCCCAUUGGGGUAUUAGAUGGUGCAGCAUGUUUGAGCUAUAAAAGUGAUGAAAUAAAACAUGGGCUAUUUGCAAAUUGUUCUCAUCCUACACCAGAUCUUAAAAGGAGGAAACUAGACAAAUCACCUCAACCGGAUCACAUCUGAAAUUUUCCCUGGAAUAAAAUUUUAAGGUGAAAAAUAAAAAAACAAAUAUGGGUCAAAGUUGAAGAGAAGUGGAUGGUGCCUCAGCCAUUGCCAUGGAGGUGGUGUUUUUGGAAACAAAUACUGCAGCUUUAUUAUUAUUACCAUUUGUUGUAGAUUAGAUUUCAAUUACAGAGAGAGGGGAAAAAUAUCAUGUCAGAAAUUAUAAGCAAAAGAGUGUAAUAUUCUUUCAGGCAGCAAUUAGAGUGUAAUUAUGGGCAUUCUAAUCAUAAUUGAAAAAUGCUGUUAUUUCUUGAUGGUGGGUGGUUUGUGUACUUUUGUCUUAUUUUUACAUAAAAACUGAACCAAACCUCAGAUGUUGACCGGUCUUACUCUAAACCCAAUACUCUACCUUUAAUUUAUUUAAGUUCUGUCUGUUUCUGAAUUCUGAAAUAAAAACAGAAAACACAAAAAUAAAUGUGAGGGCAGAAGCCUUGGGAAUCCGCAGGCCUACUUACUCACUGCCAUCAAAUUUCCCACAUCCUCUUCUCUUUAAAAGUAAUUCAUAUAUUAAUCUUUAUAAUAUGAAAAUGUUACUUUAAUAAUUAUAAUUUAAUUCUAUGACAUGUCUCUGACAAGUUGAUAUAUGUCAUUGAGAAAUAGUUGCUCCACGUGUUCCUUUUUAUAUAAUUAAAUUAUAAGAUAAGCUUGAGAAUAGAAAAAACUUGUAAUAUAUGAUAUCUUAAAUCUAAUUAUGACACAUAAAAUAAUAUAUAUCGUCAAAUAUAAACUAUACUUGUGAAUUUUAUCAUUGAGAUUUACAAUAGCAUUUUUAUCGUCACAUCGUUUUGUUAAAGAAAACAACAGAACAUACAUAGUCUUUGUAUUCUUUCCUCCUUAACAGCCAUCAGAGCUUCCAAGGGAGGGGAGCAUGUAUUAUCAGAUGCUCGAUCCCGAGCAGCCGAGUAAACCCAUUGCACGAUAACGUCGUGUGACGGAGUAUCACGAGAGAUUGUGAUGUCAGCUAUGGAGUUGCAAAGCUUCCUUUAGGCAUGUAACAGCACCGUCAUAGUUUAAGAAGCCCAUGAACCAAAAUUCAUGACUAUCAACGGUGAUAACUUGGAUGUACUUUUCAGCACAAUUGAGUCGGCUCGUUGAAGGAUUAACCGCUUUAAGUUGAUGUAAUGGGAUAACUACCUGUUUUAAGCAGAGAAAGAAUGUCGAGAAUCAUAUGAAUCUCAUAUAUAUAUAUUUCCACACCCAUCAAACACAAAUAUUUCAAUAAAAAUGAAAGGUUAUAACCUUAUAGUAGCUCCAUUCAGUUUGGGUACCAUUUUUAUAGGGAAGGGGAGUGUCACUGCAAUAUGCAAGCUUUGCUGUAGAUACAUAUAAAAUUCCCAUGACAGGUCCAGCUGACGUGGACAAAUAACAUACAAAUGAAUUCCCAAGUUGCUCUUCCGGAUCCGUUACAAAAGUGUGUCUGAAUAUCUUCUCAUACCCACCUUCUGCUAAAACCUUUGUUCCUUGUGCGAUUCUUCCCAUGGCUGCCUCUGCCAAACUCGGGCUUGUUUUUACUGUUUAAAUAGAUUUUUAAGGUUUUUUUCCAAUAUUAUAUACCUAAACUUGGAUUUAAUGUUUAAUUUGAAAGCUAAAGUUUAUUUUGGUUCGAUUAAGGGCGAGUUUAGAUGAGCGGUGCGUUUACCUGCGAUUAGUGUAAAAACAGCGGUGGCGGUGAGAUUAGAUACUGUAGCGAUACUGUAGCGUGAGACAAAAAGUAAGCUAAACGCACCGCACUGCACUCAAUCACGCAUCCAAACCCACCCUAAGUAUCUAAGCUUCGCUUCUUGGUUCAAAAUGGUAUAAGAAAUCAAGCUUAGGUACUUGGUUAUUUGAACUAUGAAAUUAAAUUCAUGUGUUAAUUCAAACAAAAAAUCAAAUCCAGAUACCUAAUUGGAUAAAAAUAAAUUUUAAAUAUCAAAAUAAAUCUUAAGUUCAAUUCAAGUAUAAAUGAAAAAAAAAUUAAAUACCAAUUUUAACUUUGAGGGCCAUAAUAUAUAUUUUCCUUAAAAAAUAUAUAAGAAAUAAAAAAGCAAAUUAACAGGGGAAACAUACAAUGCUGCCACGUGUUCCCUGCAAGAUCCUCGGCUUUUCUCGUGGCUUCUCCCACUUUUCUCCCCCAUCUCCCCAAGACAUCCUUCACAGUGUCCAUUUUCUCUGUGUUCGAUUUCAAGAUGAAUUAAAAUUUUCAAAAUGAAAGAUAAUAAUGGAAAUAAAUGUGUUGUAAUUGCUUGCCUUUGAAGGAAGUCGAAAAUGAUUCCGGAGCAGGAGACUGAGCAAUGUAAGGAUUGGAUCCGUUAACAGCGGACAUGGUGACGCUGUGAUCCGCAGCAGGCGAUUCACUAACUAACUCGGCGCUCCAACGAACAGAUUUCCUGGACCCGGUUGAUGUUUGAUUCGGUGACCGCUCGCUUUGAAUCUCAUUCUCUUUCGGAUUCUGAGCCUCUUUCUCUUCUUCUUUCUCCGGUUCUGUUGUUGGCACAAUAACAAAUUCAUCCGCGUCCAUUUCGGGAUCCGACUCUUUCCGGUUCGGUUCUUCGGCCGGUGAGCUGGACUUUGACUCGGCUACCGUCGUCCAUUGUUCCAUUCUUGUAGAACGUUCAGAAAAAAUGGCUCCGCGUGAAGUGGCGUGGGUUUUUUGUUGGAAGUUUAGUCGGAGGCUGGUAUUUGAUCUUUGUAUUUUUCUUUUAAAAGAAAAGAAUAACUUGAGCUGACCAGAACUGGAAAAAGGAAGGAAUAACUUAAGCAGCGAAAUUGCUAAUAGUAAUAAUAUGCAACCUACGCUCUCACACCAACUUUAAUACUUAUUACAAAUUAGUAGCGGUCAGUUGGUUAAUAAUUUUUUAAAAUUUUAGUUACCAAUUAAUUCGAUUCAAAGUUAGGUAAUCGAAAUAAAUAAUAUAUAUAAUAUAUUUGUAUUAAAAAUUAUUUUUUAAAUUAUUAUUUUUUAUAUUAAUCAAAAUAAAUAAAUAUUAUAUGUUAUAUAUAAUAUAUUUUGUGAACUAUUAAAAAAAAUGAACAUUAGUAAUGUUUUAUAUUUAUUUUAACCAAAAGACAAGAAUAUAUAAAUUUCGGUUAAUUCGGUGUUAACCGUCUAAAUUAGUCGAAAUAUUUUGAUUCGAUUAAUGUAUUUAAAAAAAUUAAUUUAAUUAGUAGUUAAAGAUUUUUAUAUUUUAAGUAAUUUAAUUAAUAAUAAUUUGAUUCGAUUAAUAAUUGAACUGACCAAUUAAACACAUGUAAUGAUAUGCACAAAAAUACAACACAUGAAUAACAUGUUUUAAUUUAGUAUGAGUUUUAUUAUAUAAUCGUGUUUUACGUAAUAACCAUGUCGAUCAAAUACAAGUAAGACGUCGAGACAUGACUGAGACCUAAUUAAUUAGCUCAAAGAUUACCCUCAAUUUUUGUUGGAAUACAUGUAUUGAUGGAUUAUAAUUAUUAGUUCGUCAAAAUUUAUUUUCAUUGUUUGUUUAGUUAUGUACAUUUAGAAUUUUUGUUAUGAAUAUUUUAUAAUAUUUAUGAUUUUUUUAAUAUUUUGAAAAAAUUCUAUGUAUUUAUUAAUUUUUUUAAUUUUGUAUAAUUAUAUUUUUUAAAUUUUAGAAGAACGACGGAAUUCAUCAAAUUCAUAAAUAUGUAAACCUUCAAGGUUAGCAUUUAUGAAUGAUAAAAAAAGUUUACUAUCCUCCUUUUCUUCACAAAUAUGAUGUUUAUCAUUCAAUCUGAGUAUUUUUGUUUGAUUUUAUUGGCUCAUGAUUCUUUACCAAACAAAUCGUUUUUUUACCUAAAUAAUAAAAAAAAUAAUUAAUUAAAAAAAGUAUGAAAAAUAAAUUAAUUAUAAAAAUAAGCCUUAGUUACAGUGUUUUGACGGUGCCAUUUGACAAAUUGGCAACAUUAGACUGAAAUGUAAUGACCUAAAAUAUUCAGGAACUUGAUAUUUAAAUUUUCUAUUUUGGUAUAGGUAAAUUAUUUCAUAAACCCUCUUAUUUAUUAUUUUCUUUUAUUUCUCUUUAACACUAAAAAUAAAUAAAAUAAUGAAAUUUUUCUAGAUUAUUCAAGGUCUCCUGGUGAUAUUCAUGGCUGCCACGGAAGAAAUUGAAGCGAGUUCAUGCCGACCCUCAGCAGCUUCUUGAUCAUAGGUAUCAAUCGCGAUACUAAACCCAGAGUGCAAACAAUUUUGGUUUUGGUGAUACGACCAUUAUUUGGAAGCUCCUUCAAGAUCCCAUCAAUGUCGAUAUUUGUCAUUUCCUUUUUUAUUUGCUCGAAUUAAAAAUCUGCUCUACUACACCCAUUAUCAAUUAAAAAAUAUUAAAAGUCUUCAAUGAAAAAGAUAAGGAAAAAAACCCGGACAAAAGGAAUAUUGAGAUAAAAAAAAUGGCGUUAAUGUAGGGUUGGUGAGAGAUAUCAAAUGAAGUAAAUACAGAGAUGAUUUUUUAAGAUAUAUAUAAUCAAAUAUGAACAAAUUAGAAGCAAACAUAAAUAAAAAUAAAAUUGCUUUAUGUUGAUUUAAAUUGAGAAAUGAGAUAUUAUACCUUAUAAGUAAAAAGAAAAAAGAAAACAGACGAAAAAGAGUGAAUUUUGAAUAACAGAAGAGUAAGGAAAAAUAUUUUUCGCAAAAUAAAUAACUUUUUUGGUGUUAAAAGAAAGGAAAGGAAAAGAACUUAAGUGUCAACCAAAACGGGAAAUUUACAUAUUAGGUCCUUAAAUAUUUUAAAUCAUCACUUUUUAAUCUUGUGUUGCCAAUAUGUUAUCAGAACAUUAUAGCAAAUACCUAUUUUUAUAAUUAAUUUAUUUUUCAUACAUUUUUAUAAUUAAUUAUUUUAUAUUAUUUUGAUAAAAAAACCUAAAUGAAAUAAAUUUUCAUAUCUUAUAUAUUAAUUAACCAUAGUAAUUAUGGUUAUAGUUUUCACUAUUUGAAUAUAUCCUAACCAUUAGGAAAAAAAUUAAUCAUUAUAAAACAUAAUUAAAUAUCUUUAUUUUUAUUAAUCUUUAAAAUCAAAAUAAUUGAAACAAUAUUUAAAUAAUGUUAUUAUAUUUAUGAAAAAAAAUCGUGAUUUUUAUUUGUGUAUAAUUUUAAUAUCUAACUUUAUUUUUAUUAAUCUUUAAAAUCAAAAUAAUUGGAACAAUAUUUAAAUAAUGUUAUUAUAUAAUUUUAAAAUCAAAAGGUAAUUAUUUGAGCCAAUGACCAAAUUCAAAUAGAUAAUUAUACUUACAAAUUCUUAACGAUUUUUUUUAAAAUAGAUAUUGCAAUUAUUCAGAUUCCAACUAAGCUAAAUCCGUAAAAAAAAAAUUUAAUAUUGAAGCUUAGAAAACCUCCCUGAAAAGAAGUCAACUGAGUCACCAAGCUUCAGAACUCGCUCUCCGUACCGAGAUGACUCGCUAACCUUGUUCUUGCUGCUCUCCAUAGUCAUUAACCUUCCUUCUUCUCCGUACAAUUCAUCGUUCCCGACUUGAUCCUUCAUUUCACUUAUUGAGCCCCAAACAGUCUCAACCAACACAUUCCUCAUCUGUCCAAGUGCUGAUAAUCUCUCUUUACAAUCUUCUAGUCUCUUCAAAGCAAACCCCAACUCAACUGACUCAAAAACACUCAAACAACUCAGUCUCUCUUUAAACUCACUGACUCGAAUGGAAACCUCGUUGGUUGAUGCCAAAUAAUCCUCACCCACCAUUCCCAGAACCUCGUCCACCAAUAUGUUGCCAUUGGUAUGCAAAGAAUUGGGCAUUCUCGAAAUCUGUUCGAUCAAAUUCCCCAAAGAGUUUAUCUCUUUAAGCAAUUGGCUAUUUGUAAGAGAUGAUACUUUCUCCUCUUCUUCUUCAUUGUUAUCUACACUGCUUGAAGCUGAACUUAGAAAGAAUCCCAAAACCCUUGACGUUUGCAACAGAUUCUCAAGGUAUAAAGCAUACCUGCAAUUUGUUUUGAAUAUAUUUGCUUUAAAUUUGAUGCUGAACUGUGAAAUCACGUAUUUUCCUAGAAAGUUGGAGAAACUAAAAAAUAAAAUAAAACAUACCAUCUAACCCAAUAGGAAAGUUCCCAAGUUAACAACGUCGUUUUAUCUCUGAAAUUGGAUAGUUUAAGGUAGUUUCGGCCGCCAUUGGAAGGGUAAACAGAGAGCCGAUCUUGAAGAAUAAAGCUGCCACGCUUAAUGAUGUGAUGAACAGUGAUGAGACAUUUGAUGGCAACGGAGGCAUCACGGGUGGUCUGAAGACGGUCCAUGAGGGCCUCGAUGGCGGUGGAAACGGUGGCACGUGAGGUAUGGCCGGAGGCAAGUAAAGUGGCCAAGUGCCUUGGGUCAGGUGGAGUGAAGGGGUCAUGGGUGGUGGCUCUUAGUAAGGCUAAGUGGAGGGAUAGGGUUUUGGGAUCGGAAAGCAAAGCUGCUUUGCUUUGAGAAGCUUUGUCUUUGAUGAUCCCAAUGAAGUCCCUAAGAAUCGGUAUCCGCCCCAUUCAACAACAAAACAAAGCCACUGAAGAAACGAAAAGUAAAGUGAAAAUUUAUUAUGAAAAGAUCUGUUAUCUACUUAUCACAAUCUCGCGGGGUUCAUUUUUUAUAUAAGAAUAAUUACUAGGCUUUAAUUUGUAAAUUGGCCCUCAACUAUACCCUAAUUAUCAAUUUGGUCUUUAAAGUUUUUUUUUUGUCAAAAGUAAUCCCUAAAGUUUCCUUUUGUCACCCUAAUUGGCGCUUCGGUUAAUAGACAUUAAAAGAAAAUUUAUGUGGCAUUCCAGCCAAUACUAAAAUGACAUGUGCCAAAAAAUAAAUUAAACUUAAUGUCAGUCUUCAUUGUUUAAAAAAAACACUUCUGACUCCAAAAUCACUUCUGAAAGAAAAGCUGUGAAGAACAAGCUGCUUUUGGCUGAAAUUUUUAACUUUUUAGAAGUGUUUUUCAAAAGCACUUCUGAAAAAGAGCUGAAAAGAAUAAGCUAAAAAUUUUAGUUUUUUCUCUCCCAAAAGCACUUUUAGUACUUAAUUACUUUUUCACCCCUCUAAUAAUAUAGUAUUUUUCCUUUUUUUCUUGGUGCUUAAUUAUAAUUGUGUUAAAAUCAUUAAUUAAAAAUAAAAAAAUAUUUUUUAAAAUACUAAUUACAAAUAUUUAAUGGUUAUAUUUAAAUAUUUAAAAUAUAGUUUAUAUAUUCUAAUUAAAUUUUAUAAAUAAUUAAUAUUUAUUGCUUAAAAAUAUUUACAAUUUAUAUUCCAUAUAUUAAAAUAUUAACAACAAGUUAUAAUAAUUUUUUUAUAUUAUUACUAAAAUAUAAUAAUAUUAACUAAUUUAAAUAUUAUUUAAAUACAUAUUUGUUACUUGAUAAUAACAUGUCUAAAAUAGAUAUUUUAUUUUUCAAAAGUACUUUUUGACAGCAAAUCUUAAACACUCAAAUUUUAAACUAAAAUUUUCAAAAACACUUCUUAAAAGUACUUUUCCAGUACACUUUUCAAAAGCAAUCAAGAACUGGCCCUUAAUAUUCUUUCUUUCUUUCUUUCUUCUUCCUCCUCUCUCUCCCUCUCCCGCCACAGUUCUCUUCUUCUUUUAAAGCUAACUGCAGACUACAUUUUAUUGAUGAACUUAACAUAAAUAUAAUAUAAAGCAUAAGAUCUUUAAAGGCUAAGUGCAACUCGACUCUUACUCUCGUUCUUAUCUUCUUCACCAUUUUCGAUGAACUUAGCCUUAGAGAGUUUGUAUAUAUUUUAACAUGGUCACUUUAUUAAUGGCUGAAAGUGCCCCAUUUUUUUAACGUCUUUUAGCGGAAGGGCCAACUUGUGUGACGAGGGUAAACUUUUGGGAUUACUUUUGAUAAAAAAUAAAAAAAAAACUUUAAGAGCCAAAUUGAGAAUCAUGGUAUAGCUUAAGGGUUAAUAUAUUACUAAAGCCUAAUAAUUACGAUUUUCGUGAACAUAUUUUAUAAUUUGGAUAAAUUAUACUAUUAAUUGAUCACUUUAACACUAAAAAGAGUUAAAAUUGAUUACUGAACUAUUUAAAAAAUUUUAUUUAAGUUAUUAGAUUGUUAAAUUUUUUUGUUUAAGUUCCGCUAGCGAGCUCCAAGCUACGAUUCAAAAUCCAAGUCAAUCUGAUAGUCAAUGUCGAAAAUUGAAAAAAAAAGUUUUUUGAAUUUUGGUUCGCAGAUUCGUGACGUCCAAAGUUAUUUCAUGAAAAAAAUUAAACUAUAAAAAUAAAUGGGAAAGAGAGUUUUCGAUUGGUACAUGAAAUGCAAACAGAGAAAGUCAUAUAGUAUUGAUUUAAUAGCUGAGUGACUUAAAUGAAAACUUUUAAAUAAUUUAAUGACCAAAUUAUUACUUUUUAAGUUAAAUGACCAACACAAAAUUUCACAUUUCAAAGUACAAAGCAUAACGAAAAAUAUUACAGCUCAAAAUUAGAAGAAAGCAUAACAUUUAAUUAUUAGAAUUAAAUGUUAUCUAUUAUUAAUUCUCUAUUAAUUAGUUUUAUCGAAACAAAUGAUAGUUGAACUUUAAAAUAAGAAAAAAGGAACUAUUUUAUAGCUCGAAGCAUAACAAUUCUAUACAAAUUAAUUUAGUAAUAACUUAAAAGGCAGUAAUUUUAACGUUUACAUUUUUGUCAAUUUAAUUAUUAUAUUUUUUUAAAAUGAAAUUUUUUUAUUAAAUUUUCAGAAAGAAUCAAAUAGUUAGUUAAAAUAUUAAAUUUUUAAUAAUGCUGGUGUGGUAACUCGUAUGACAUUAUGCAUAUAUAUCAUGUUGAUAUGACAUCAUUUGUCUUGUAUGUCACGUCAAUAAAUAAUUUUAAAAAUAUAAAAAAAUUAUUCAAAAAUAAAAAAUUAACAUAAAUUACACGUGAAUUGUCAUGUGGGUUGACAUAUUUAAAACAUUAAUGUUUUAGUCAGUAUUUUCAUAAAUAAAUAAAUAAACAACAAAUCAACUCUUUUAAAAGAUUAAUAGUCAUAUUUAGAUUAAAAAGAAAAAGAAAAAUUAAAAUUAUAAAAAUUGUAAAUAUUAAAGAUUAAACUUGUCAUUAUAUCUAGAAAACAAAUUUAUAAUAGUUUUCUAAAUAAUGAUAGAAAAGAGGAUAAUGAAUUGAUUGAUGGACACUCAAAAAUCAAGCCUCGAUAAAUAGUAACUAAAACUCAAUUAAGGGGUUAUCAAGUUGAGCACUAAAUUCAUGCAAUCUGAUUGGUGUCAAGUGAACUUUGCUUAGAAAUGGUUGCAUAUGGCUGUGUGCAUGAUGCAAGUUGAGCAGUAGCAGUUCCAUCCUUGUCAUGCUGCAAUUAAUUGAUUUCGUCAGUUCACCCACCCAAUUAAUUAAAUCCCAGAGAUAUGUUUCUUAAGUAAAUCGGCAUAAAGUUUGUAUUUUUGGAGAUUUUUUCUAAAAUUAAUAUAGUAAUUAGUUUGAAUUUAUUUAUAAAAAUUGAUUUUUUUAUCAUUAUAAAUUAGAGACAGAAAAAGGAGACGAACAGGUUUGAAUAAAUAAACCGGAAAAUAAAAGAUUUUAAUUCUAUUAUUAUAAAUAAUUUAUAAUUAUUAAAAUGAAAUUAGAUCUAACUAGUAUAAAAUAAUUAAAGAAAAGUGUCAAUUGAUGUUUAAAAAAUUAGAUAAAAGGUUAGAGCAAUCAGACUUUUAUAUCAAUCAUUUAUUUGAUUGGGUUAAUGGAUAACUUAAUUCAAAAUAUAUAUUUUUGAGUCAAAUUUUUUAAAUGUUAAAUAUAUUGUUUUUUUAAUAAAAAUUACAUUUUUUUUUUCAAUCCAAUUAGUCAGUUUAAUCUGAUUUUUUAUUCGAUCAAUUUUAAUUAUCCAAGUCAUACUUCGUAGAAGCUAACGAAGGCUUGGCUUAGUAAGAAUGGUUUUCUUUUUAUAGAAAAUAAAUUAGAUGGGUUCGCGAGUUAGGAUGAGCUUAAUUAAAUCCGGGUUGAAAAUGGGUUUAAAAUUUUGUUUAAGUCUAAUUUAGAUAAAAAUGUUAAUAUUUAAUCUUGGUCCAGCUCACCUAUAUUAAAAUUUUUUUGUAUAAUAUUUUAAAAUAUAUAUAAUACAUAAAAAAAUAUUAAAAAUAUUGAAGUAAAUUUAAAUAACACUAAGAUAGGUGCAACUUAACAAAUAAAUGUCUCUAAAAUAGUAAUAAACUUAAUAAUAAAACAAAAAUUAUAUAAUAUUCAAACAAUAACAAUAAAUUAAUAGUAACAUAAUAGUGAAAAUGUAGCAAAAUAGUGAUAAAAUAAGAAAAUAGUAGCAAAAUAAGAAAAAAAAAUAACAAGAAAUUUGGUUAGGCCAAAAAAAACCUUAUCCGAGGCCCGACCUAUUUUCUAAAUGGGUCUUAUUUUUUUGUCCAAAUCCAUUUUUUGGGUCCAUUUUAUAGUAAUAAAACCAUAAUUAAUUAUAAAACGUCCUAAUACUUAUAAAAAGAAAUAUAGGCGUUAUAAAUUAACAAAACCCCAUUCAAUACUGGUUAUAUCAAAUGGUUCAUGAUCCAAUCUAAUUUUUAUAGUUAAAUAUUUUUCAUCUAUAUCAUUAAUAUAAACAUAUGCUUCUAAAAACAUAUUCAAAAAAAGUUUUCUGAAAUUGAGCUUGUUGUUUACAAAUAGCUCUAUUUAUUUUAAAAAAUAUUUCUUAUGGUAAAUAUGUCUAGAUUUAUUAUAUAAACAUAUUCUAAACAUUUUAUUCAUAAUAGGAUUGUUUUUUCCUUUAUGAAUAAAGUACUAAAAUAUAUCAAGAAGAUUGUUUAUCUCCUUAAUAUCCAUAAAUUCCAUUUGGAAUUCAUCCCAAUCUCUGUAUAAGAUGGAUUUUAAUAAUAAAUCAUCAGAUUCACUUUCCUUAGUUGUUUUUUCAACUAAAAAUUGUGAAAAUUUUGUAAGAGCUCUUCUGAAAUUUGCUCUUUAUUGAGAAACAUAGUUUUUCCAUAUUUUAUUAAUAAAGUUAUAAAUUUCUGACGAUAAACCAGGACUGUAAAAAUCUUUUAUUUCUUGAAUUUGUUGUUGUUUUAACAAAUUUUCUGCUCCUUUAAUCAUUUCAGCAUAAUUGGCUUGAAACGUUGAAUUUGGAUAUUGGGACCAUUGUGAUUGACUCACCAUUUUGGGUGUCAAUGAUAAAGGAGUUCCAACUGGUUGUUUUACCAAUGACAAAACUUUUGUUCUAACUGGUUGGUUUACUAUUGGAUAUGACAUAUAAUAUCAUUGGUUAGAAUAAAAUGGUACUUGUGCAGGUACAAAUCCUUUUUUGAAAUUUGUUGCUUUCCUUUUGUUGGGUUUUUUAUAAACAGUCGUCCAUUCACCAACUAUUUCUGGAGGUUUUUUACCUCAAUCUAGAGGUGAUCAUGGGUUGGGCUACUCAACUCGGCCUGACGGCCUGCCCGAAAAAUGGGAGGGUUCGGGUAAAAAUAUAGUCCCGAAAUAUGGGUUUGGGCAAAAAAAGAAGCUCGUUUAAAAAAUGAGCCUGGCCUCGGGUAAAGCUUUUUUGGCCCGGGCUCGGCCCGGCCCGAGUUAUAUAUUAAAUAUAUAAUUUUAUUUUUAAUCAAAUAUACUUUUUAAUCAAAUAUAUAUUAAAUAUUUACUUGUUUGGUGUUGUAAAAUUUAAUAUGGGCCGGGCUCGGGUUUAGCAUGUAAUAGCCCGAUUUUCAAAAAUGUCGAAAACAGUGGUACGAGAUCACCAAAUUCAGAAAAUAAGCUCGUAAAUUUUAUUAUCAAUAAUUACGAGCCAAAUAUGAUUUUUAAGAGAUUUUUAAAUUAGUAAUUUGUAUUUUAUAAAAAUUUAUUAAGUCAAGAAAUUGAGAAAAAGAGGUAUCGAGACUUCGAUAUUAUAAACUGAGCCGUAAAUAUUUUUAUAAAUAUUUACGGAGUGUCAAUAUGGUAGUGUUAAAGUUUCGUCAGAAAAUUUUAAUGUUUUGGCAGUUAAUUAAUUAAAAAGGACUAAAUUGAAAAGAUACAAAACUUGCUAAAGUGAUUAAAUAACUUAACAAUUAAAUAAGAAAGGACUAAAAGAGAAAAUGGACCAAUUUAGGGGCUGAGAUGACAUACCGUUAAAAAAAAUCUAAGAUUUUUAUGUAUUAAGGACAAAAUUGGAAUUACAAUAAAGUUUAUGUGGCCAAAUUUUAUUUUAAGCAUUUCAAGACCAUUUCUUCUUGAAAUUUCGGUGGGAGACAGCCAUGGAAGAGGGUUUGGAGCUGGUAUUCCAUAUUUUGGCUUCAAGUAAGUUUAAUUCUUGCUUUGUCCUUGAAAUUUUUAUAUUUUUAGACUUUUACAAUUAGGUCCAACUUAGUAUUCUACUAGUUUCUCAUUUUGUUGAAAGUUUUGGAAGAUACUAAUGAUAAGUUCAUAUGAUUGUUGUUAUUUUUUGAUGAAAUUGAGAUGUUAAUGGAUGUUUAAAGGUGUUUUAUUAAAGAAUUUUAGAUGAAAACAUGUUUUAGGGAUUAAAUUGAAAAAUAUUGAAAUCAUGGAGAAAUUCUAAAAUUUUAUGGAAUCUAUGGGCUGUUAUUGAUAUGUAUGAGAAAUAAUAGGCUUGAAUGAAGGAUUAUAUUGCAAGAAUUUCAUUUUCCAAGCCUAGGGACGAAAUUAUCAUGUAUUAAAAGUUUAGAGUCAAAUUGGUAAUCAAUAUAUUACACUAAACAGUUUUGGGCAGCAGCAGUGGUCUGACUUUGAAAAAUCACCAAAAAUUGUGGGAAUUGAAUUAGAGGGUGAAUAAAAUAUGAAAUUAAAGCUUAUUGAGUCUAGUUUCUCAUAGAAGAAACGGUGUAAGUAAUGAAAUUGUAAAUCAUGAGAUAUAAUAGAUUUUGUGAGACAAUGUCAGAAUGAAUUCGGGUUCCCCUGUUCUGAAUUUGGAAAAUCAUUAAAAAUUGUAAAAAAAUGAUUAUGAGUUAUAAUUUAUAUGAUUAGAAUCCUUAAUGAGUCUAUUUUCAGAAGAAACCAAUAUAAAUACCAUCCAAAUUCUGUACAAUGAGAUAAUUAAUUUUUAGUGAAGAGUGGUCGGAACUGUCAGACAGCAAAACAGGGGAAACUUUAAAGAAUAAACAGCUUUGAAUAUACAUGUGAGUGAAUAGUGAAAUUAUAGCUAAUGUUGUUUAAGUGUGUUAUACACAUUAAGGAUGUGGAAUGGAGAGGAGGAGGAGGAAAAUUGGGAAGUAUAUGAAUGAUUUGUGUAUAAUUGGUCAUAUGCUUGAUUAUAAUUGAUAAACGGUGAAAUAGAAAUAAUGCUUAUAUUUGUGCAUUAUUGGUUUUGGUUUAAGCUCAUGUGUGAAAAUAAAGUUUCAUAGUACGUGUGUAUCGUAUAUUCGGUAUAUGAUUUGGCAUGAAAUAAUUUCAUGAAUGGUUUAUCAUGUGGUUAGUUCCAAAAAGGGUUAUGUUUAAAUAUACUAGCUUGUGACUAUGGUUGAAUGAUAUGUUUAUAUCUUGUGUGAUGUGCAUAGGAAACAAGUGUGGUAAGAUAAUGAAAUAGUAAGUUCAUAUGACCGAAAUUUAAUGAUUAAAUGUUAAUUUCAUGAGUUAUGUAAUGUAUGAUGAGAUAUAUUUAUUGAUGAAAUGAGAAUAAAAUAAAAAUGCAAAAAUUGAAUAAAUGAUCAAAUUGAGCGGAACGCCGGAUUUGAGUACUUAUGAUCAAGUGACAAAGUGAUAGGUGAUAGCUUCGGCUACACUUAUCUGAUCAAGUGACAAGUGGAAAGUGAUAAGUGAUAGCUUCGACUACACUUAUCUGAUCAAGUGACAAGUGGAAAGUGAUAAGUGAUAGCUUCUGCUAUACUUAUCUGAUCAAGAGACAAUGUGAUAAGUGAUAGUUUCGGCUACACUUAUCUGAUCAAGUGACAAGUGAAAAGUGAUAAGUGAUAGCUUUAGCUACACUUAUCUGAUCAAGAGACAAAGUGAUAAGUGGCUACACUUAUCUGAUCAAGAAACAAAGUGAUAAGUGGCUACACUUAUCUGAUCAGGGACAAGUGAUAAGUGAUCAUACGUAAGACCAUAGUUAUACUAUGGCAAAGUGAAAGUGAAGUACUCAAUUUUCCGUAACCGUUCCCUAAUUUGAUUAAGGAUGGUAAGUGACAAAUGGGCCCAAAUGAAUUAAAGUAAAUGAAUAAGUGGUAGUGUAUUUAUACCAGGAUGAUGUUGUUAUUUAAGCUAAAGUGAUAUUUUCAUUGCAAAAUUAAGAAUUUCAUAAAUGUGUUAUUGAACGAUAUAAUCGAUAAACGUUGAGUUAAAUGGUAAAUACGUAUUAGUGUUAAACUUAGUGACAUUGAAUUGUACGUGAAUUAAAUGGAAAUUGCUAGUGAUAUGAUCUAAAUUGUGAGCAUGAGAAAUUGCGAAUUAAAUGAAAUGGAAAUGAAGCAUUGAAUUGUAUGAGUAUAUACCGGGUCUCGUAGGCCCUAAUUAUUAUGAUUAUAAUAUUUUGAGGAUAUAUUGUGAAAAGUUAUAGAAGCAUUCUAAUUAUUUUGAAAGUUUUAAUUUAGUUGAAAUUUUAUAACUCGGUUAAAUACGUUUACAAGUGUAUGUGUUUUGGUAAUGCCUCGUACCCUAUUCCGCUCGUACCCUAUUCCGGUGUUGGAUACGGGUAAGGGGUGUUACAUAGCAAUUUUCUUUCGGGCCGGGAUUGGACAAAUUUUUAGGCCCAUGUUUCGGGCUGGGCUGGGCCUGGGCCUAAAAAACGGGCCUAAAUUUUUAUCUGGGCCCGGCCCGGCCCAUGAUCACCUCUACUUCUAUCCAUAAGGCUUGCUAAGAUAAUCAACAAUAAAUUAUUAGUACUUUAUAUAAUAACAUAAAAUUACAUAAUUUAUUCUUUUGAUGGUGUAAAAGUUUUAUUACACACAAAUUUAUUAUUAUUUACUAAUGGUAUUUUUAUAGAAGAAUUUUCUACAGAUAAACUGAUUGACUUUUUAUCAAUAGAGAAUGGUAAAUACUGACAUGUAAAAUUAUUUCCUAAUAAUAUGUCUCCAUGCAUUUCAGGAAAACAUAAAAUUUUAGGAAUCAUAAAUCUUAUAUUUUUUUAUGUAGAUUGAUAUAUUUCUAGCUUUAUAAUUAAUUAUGGUUUUAUUAUCAUCCAUUCCUAUUACUUUUAUAGGAUUUUUAAUAGUUUCCCAUUUUUCUACAGGAAUGACAUUUUUUCUGCAACUACUGGUUGUAGCUCCAGUAUCUAAUAAAGCAUGUAAAGAAUAUUUUUUAUAUUCUCUAAAUUGAAAUGCAAUUUCAAUAUAUGUAUCAUAUUUCCUAGAUUGGAAAUUAUUUAUUUCAACUUUCAUUUGUUUACUAAUCGUUGAAUUUUGUAUUUCUUCCGUUCUAGAGUUUCUAGAAUUUCUACUUGGUUAUGUAGGGAAAAUAGGAAUAUGAAUUGUUUUUACUCCUAUUGGUGUAGAAUUAUUACUAAUAUUAUCCUCUUCUUCUUCUACUGAAUUAUUAGAGGGUAAAAUUAAGUUUUCAUUUGUAUUAGUUAUAGCAAGGUUUUUAAAGUAUAACUUAUUCCCCGAUGACAUAUAUUCUAUGGUACUUACUGGUUUAGAAGUACUUGCACUACUUAUCUUUUCUAUCAUCCAAUCUUUUGGAAUUGAUAGAUCUCUUAAAUGUAAUAAUUUUGGUUGUAUUUCUGUAGUAAAUUUAUUAGGUUCAAAGAGCUUAAUAAUUUUGUUGUUUAUCUCUUUGAUUUCUACUUCUGCAGUAUUAGUAUAUUUAUUUAUAGAAGUCAAACUUAUUGCUAGAUCUUCUGCUAAAUCAUUAACAUCAGACUUUUUUGUCUGAAUUCUAAGGCAUAGACACUCUUCUACUAGAGGAUUUGUAAUGGAUAUAAAGUAAUUUGGUUUAACCUUAAAUCCUAUUACACCCGUAUGUAAAUUAGACUGAAUUCCUCCAAUAAAUGCUUUUAUUGGAUUUUCAAAUCUUUUAUCUAAAAGAACAACUAUUAUAGAAAUAUCAUGACAUUUCCUAAAUAGAGCUCAAAUAGUUAUCAUUAUUAUCCCUAAAUGGAUAUAUCUAACUUGAGGGUAUUUCUUUUUAAUCCUCUUAAUUUUAUCUUUAGUAAAUAAUGAGAUUUCUGUUAAUCCCCCUCUCGUAUCCUUAGCUAUAGUAUUUCCACUUAGCUUUUCUACAUGUCUCUUAGUCCAUAUUUUGAAUUUAGAUAUUUUUUAUAUUUCUUCUUUAGAAAUAUGAUUUUUAUAUAUAUUUUUUCUAUCAUUUCAUCACAAAAGUCUAUUUCUUCUCCAAUCAAAUUUCCUAAUUUUAUAUCUUGUUGUUCAGUAUUAAAAAUUUAUUCUAAUUGAUUAUUAGAACUACUUCCUAUAUUAAACAUAAAUAUAUAUUCUUCAUCAAUAUCAGAAUCUGUUUCUGAUAUUAAUUCAUAUAAUAUUUCUUCAGGAUUUAUUUCCUUUUCAUAACAUAUUUCUAAAUCUUGUUCUUCAAUACUUUUAAUCGUUUUCCUAGCAUUUUUUCUUUGUUAGGACAAUUUGUUGCUAUGUGACCUACUUCAUCACAUAUAAAAUAUUUAUAUAUCUAUUUUUUAGGUUUAGAAAAUUUUCUUCUAACAAACUUUUUAUUACCAGUAUAUUUUUUAUUUCCUGAUUUCUAUUUUGUUAAUUUAUAAAACUAACAAUAUUUUUUUUAAUCUUCGGGUCCAGUGAUCCGACCAUGAUCAGAUUUAAAAAAAACUAACAGUAUUUUUUUUAUUAAAAAAACUAACAGUGAUGAUAAUAAAGCCGUAAUGUUUAAAUUGCAUAUGAAGUUUAAAUUUUUAAUUAGAUUAGCUAAACUCUUAUUUUUGUUAUAUGUUUAAUUAUAAUUCUUUUUAAUUAUUAUAAUUUCUUUAGUGUGUAGUCUAUUAACUCUUAAUAUUUUAACUUUUAAUAAGCUACAAACUUUUAAUUUAAAUUAUUUUUAAGUAGUUAAAAUUUUUAUCACAUAUUUAUUUAUUACGAAAUUCAAAUCAUGUUACCCAUCUUUUAAUUCUAUUAUUGUAUCUAAAAAUACUUUUAAUUUAGAUUUAAACUCAACUUUAACAUAAAUCAUUUGUUAUUGCGGUGGCAUUUAAGAGUUGGGGCUUUUGGUGUCAUGUUAUGUGCUAUGGAGGCUUUUUAUUUGGUGAAUGCUUCAUAUACCCAAUGGUCGAGUUCUAACAAGGGCUAGUGAUGUUUUUCGUGUCUUCCUAUCUUUUUGUAUCAUGUUUUUUUUUUUUUGCUGGUCUAAGUUUUUAUGAAUUGUUUUUUUUUUAUGUUUGACUUGAUCUCUAGUUUUGUGCUUGUAUUCUCAGCUUUGAAAAUGGAAAAUUUAAUAUGCUUCCUUUUUAUCAAUAAAUUGACUUUUGUUGGGAAAAAUGCUAGGCAUGUAUAUACAACUCGAUUCAAAUUUAUUAAGUUAACUAAUUAGAAUAAAUCUGAUAGAUAAUCCACGAGUUUACGAAAGGUAGAACUCAAAUAUAUAACUUUAAAAUUUCUAAUGUCACCACAUUUGUCAUUGAGUCAAGGCAUCAUUAGCAGUUCUCUACUUUUAAUUAUAAGAGUUUAAUUUAUUUGCUGUAAUUGAAGUCCUAUUGAUAACAUUGUAAAAAAAUAUUAUAUUAAAUUGAAUUAUGUGAUAUUUUUAAAAUAAAAAAUUAGAUUUAUAGAUGAAAAUUAGAUGAUAAAAUUUUAAAUAUCUAGAGCAUAAUUAAAGGGUAACAAAUUACUUAGGUGGGUGAAUAUUCUUCUGUCAUAAUUAUAUUCACAAGAAUACAAUUCUGUAAAAUUGACCUCGUUUUUAAAAAAAAAAAAAUAACUUAUGGAAUUAAUUUCUUAAGGGAAACGCAUGAAAAAAAAAAGUCCCCGGCUUUCUACGUAAUCAGCCGAGAUAGGGUGGGUCCACUGCACGUGAGGGUGAGAAAAAUGCUAAAGUCACUUUCUGUUCUGAACAUUUCCAUAAUGUUUUAAAUGAUCCAACGGUUAUAAACAUUACUUUGAUGUACAAUAUCACACUAACAUGUAAUACAUAUUUUCCACAUACGACUCUCUACGCUUUCCUGGAAGCUAAAUAUACAGAGCAAGUUUGAAUCUAUAUAUACAUAUAUAUAUAGAGAGAGAGAGAGAGAGAGCAAAGCAAAAAGGUUGAACCGUUUGAAAGUUGAUGUUAUUGGAGUUUUUUUUAUUUUCUGAGAUGGGUUUCUCUGAAAUGGGCAAUGGAUGCAAGGAUCACCCAAAUCAUCAACAAAAGCAAGGGGUUUGCGCUUCAUGUUUAAGAGAAAGGUUAUCUCGUCUUUGUUCAGCUUCAUACACAGAAACUAAUUCAACGCUUUUCCUUUCUUGCUCUUCUUCACUCUCCUUUUCUCCUGCGCCUGACUACUCUUCGCCUUCAUCUUCGACCUCGGCCUCCCCUGACGCUCGACAUCGUAAGCGGAACGGUUCUGGCGUGACGUCAAUCAUGAAGCCGGUGUCGUCGUCGUCGUCUUCGUCUUCGUCUUUUAUGUUAAAGUUUGGUAGUACCAAAGGUUUGAAGAAGAGUAGAUCGACUGCUUGUGUAGCAAGGACCUUGGAUGAUGAAGAACUCAAGAAUGGGAAGAAUAAGAAGAAAGGGUUUUGGUCUAGGUUGCUGAGUUUCAAAGGGAAGAAGAAUGUUCUCUCGCAUUCAAUGAGUAUGAGAUUAAUGAUUGGAAGAGUGAAUUGAUUUCCUAGGGUUCAAUUUCGACGAUAAUUUGUGUUUUUUUUCCUCUUCCUUUUUUGUUACACAGUUGUGAGAUCAAAAUGAAAGAUUUGAUGUAGGUUUUAAGUCUGUUGAGACGAGGCGUCAAAACUCUUCUUCUUAAACAGUUAUAAAAUUUGUAAUACUUGUUUCAAUAUAAAAAAAAAUGAUUGCACAAGCUUUGCCUUAAUCUGUGAAUUUAGGGACACAAACUCUAAAUUUAGUGAAUAAUAUCACUUCAAACUAAUUAGGCUAAAUUCUAAAUUCCAUUUUCUAAAAAGAUAAAAGAAAAGUCAUAGUAAAAAUAUAAAUAAUAUAUAUUCAAAUUCAAACUCAGAAAAUACUUGGUAAGUCAUGUUGUCUUCCAAUCUUUUUUCUUAAAGGUGAUGCAAUUCUAUAGUUCAUGCACAGCAUGAAUGUUUACUUUUGAAUAUAUACAUCACUAUCCUAAAUAAUUAAAUAAAUAUAUAUAAGUUAAAACAGCUGUAAUUUAUAAUAUAAUAUCUGGCCGAUUAAGUAUUAAAUUGAUUGGUAUGAAAAUUAUUGUUAAUUAUGUAGAAAAAUGUGAUGUUGAAUGCGUUAAAAUAUAUUAUUUUUAUAUUUAUGGGUUGAAGAGAAAUUAUAAAUAAUUAUAAAUAUUAUAUUAAAAGGAAGUCAUAAAACCGAUAAAUUAAAUUUUCAGCCAAUUUCGUUGAAAAACAUCCAAACAAUCUUAAAAACAUUGUCCCACCUUUCCUUCGUUUUCCAAAGUUUUCAAGUCGUGCGGAUUGCUACCUUUUCAUUUUUCCAGUUUUGUCCACUUCGUCUUAUAAUAAUUCCAACUAUUAAAAUUAAAUAUACAUGAAUUAUCAAAUUAAAAAUUACAUAUUCAUAAAUUAUAUUUAUUUAAAUAAGGUAUAAUCAUUUUUUUGGCCCCAAACUUUAAAAAGAAAUCAUUUUAGCCCUCUAUUUAAUUUUUGUCAUUUUUAGUUUUUAUACUUAUAUAUUUUUUGUCAAGUCACCUAAAAUUGGUUGAAAAUUUUGUUGAUAUGAGACACACGUGGAUAAUAUGUCAGCAUUUAAUUGAUACUCUUAAAUUUAAAAUUAUUAAAAAUAUAUAUUUUUUAUACUUUUUAAAUAAUUUUAAUGAUUUUUAACUUUUAAAAAUAACUUUUUUGAAUUUUUAAAAUUUGUAAAAAUCAUUUAAAUGCUGAUGUGUCAUUCACACGACAAUCCACGUGUCUGCCACCACAUCAGCAAAGUGAAAAAAACAUCAUCUUUUAAUCUAUUUUGAAACGAUUUAACAAAAAACGUAAGUUUAAAACUAAAAAAAAAACUAAAAAUUAAAUCGAUAGCUAAAAUAUUUUUUUUUUGUAAAAUUAGAAGAUGAAAUAAAUUAUUAACUGUAAACAUAACAACAAAAUUAAAAUAAUUGUAUUAUUUUUAAAAUUUUGAAGUGAAAGAAUAAUAAAAUUCCCAUAAGUGUAGGGGGACCUCAAGAAUCACAUUUCAAUAAAUGAAGGAUAAAUAUAAUGGCGUCGAACCCGUGAUCUCCAUUUCCUUUUCAUCAGUCUCAUUUUUAUCCGCAUCAUUAUGAUCCGAUUUAAAUCCAGAUUGUACUGUCACGUAAUCUUUUUUUUUUCUUUAUUCCCAAUGAGAUGGUUUUAAAUCGUUAUUCCAUUUUUUUUGAAAGGUAUAAUGUUAAAUGUAGCUACUAGUAUUUACAAUUUUUUUAAUUUGGUCCUUAUUUUUUAGUUAAAAUUGAAUUUAACUAUUAAAUUUUUCGAAAAAAGUUGAAAUACUGUGUUUUAUUGAAAAUACUAAUUAAAACGUUAAAUUUUAAAACAUGUCGACAUGUCAACCCACAUGUUGUUCAUGCUAUACUUUUUGGAUUUUUAUAAAUUUUUUUAUAAUUUUAAAUUAUUAGUUGAUGUGACGUGGCAUAUAAGACAAAUAAUAUCAUAUUAAUAUAAAGUAUAUGUGGAUUGUUAUGCAAUUUACCACCCCAAUAUCAUUAAAAAAUUAAUGUUUUAGUCAAUAUUUCUAUUUUAAAAAUAGAUUUAGUUUUUUAUAAAAAGUUUAUGGUCAAAUUGAGAAAAAAAAGCGGCUAAAUUGACAAUAAAAUAUAAGCAUGAAGAUUAAAUUUAACAUUCUAUCUUUUAAAAAUUAUAAUAAACACAAAUUUAAGAAAUUAUAAUUUAUUAAGAUGUAUUUUUAAAUAAAUUUAUUAAAAAAAUUGGAAAGUCCAAUGUAAAUAAAGGAUCAUAGAUAGUAAAGAGUGUCAUAUGAACUGUUUUCAUUUGGACUUUGGAGAGACAAUGUUAGGCGGCUCCAAGUUGCAAAAAAAAUCAGCGGCAAAAACAUUCAACUAAUUACCAACUCUAAAUUUUGAGAGGUUUUAGGUCUGGGAUAAUGAUGGUAUUGCGGUAGAAUAUUUUAAUUUAUAAUUAUAAUAAUUAAUUUUAUCCUUAUCUUUAUUUUUAAUAUUAUCAAAGAUAAACACACCAUUCAUCUAAAAAUAUCUUUAGUUUAACUGUUAAAAUAAUUUAAUUUACAAAAUUCCAAAUAAUUUACAAAUGCAAAUAUUUACCGCUUGCACCAAACCAUCCUUUCUUUUCCCCUAGAAUUUUAGCUCCGAUUUUUAGUGGAAAAUCCGGCAACUUCGGUUAUUCCAAUAAAACCAGCCCUUUUUCCCCUUAUUUGUCUCUCCUUUAGAUUUUUAUCUCUUUUUUUACUUAAUUCGGAUUUUUAAUUUUCUUUCUCAUGAUACCAUUGUUGACAUAGCUUUAUUUUUAGUAUUUCUUGUAGUUUCUAUUUUCUUUUUUAUCACUUUAUUUGUUUAUUCCCACCUAUAAUGAAUAUUAUACCAAUCAUUAUUUUUAGAACUCAUUUGAUUGUUUUGUCGACCAAAAACAGA
rnacentral:lncRNA from 1 species